UUUUUUUUUUUGGGUAUCAAAAUAUAAUUUCCAACACUAUAAGCAUGUCCGAUUUUUCUGGCCCUUUCUUUUCAGGUCUCUCCGUCAAAAAGUACAAAAACAAGCAUUAAAUUUUGAGAACUCAAGGCUAACUGCAUGGCAUCCAAAUUAUACUAAUCUUAGAAUGAUGAAGGGUAUGUUUCCUUCAAGGGUGUGAAUGUGUUCCGAGAAUUUGUGCUCAGAAAAAUUUGCAUCGACAGCGGCGGAAGGUUUAGCAUCGCCUUGUUUGCGAGCUCGGUGAAUUUGUUACAGGAACCUCAGUCUUCGAAGAGGUUUUCUAGAGUAAUGAGCCAUGAAAUCCGAACGCAUCCCAAGGCGGGGCGUGACUCUGCUGCACUGAACGGCGAGUUAGAGCUUCAGCAAUACAGGGGCUCAAAGCACACAUUUCUUUUCAUGCAGGUGUGUUGUAUCUGCCUGUAGCACACUCACCCACAAUUAAAAAAAAAUGACCCACUUAGAAAUAGAUGACUCCACUUCAUUUGAAGUCCCAUAUCGGUUGACCAGGCACAGUGUUUUGGGAAAAGUCUCGAGUGAAGGAACAGCAGGAGUUGCACUGUUUCUAGUAUCUUAAGCACUUGGUGUUGUCCUUCAACAUGCGCAACGAUUUGUCAGAGUUUGGACAGUAGAUCUUCGGCUGGAUCUCGGUUUACUCUCCUCGUGCCACCAGAAGUCAUUGUUCUUGAAGUCCUGGACCUUGCACCAUUUUGAUUGCUCCGGGACAUUGGAUUCAAUGUGAUAAUGACAGGUGAAUUGUGGGUACUAGCAAUUGACAUCAGCUGACAUGUUUGAGUUGCGUGUAGUUGAUUGUAGAGGUAAACUGAGUCUGUUUUGCAUCAUUGGUUAAUCUCAUAUGCCGUCUCGAGUACCAGUCUAGAGAUCCUAAGGACGAACAUACCCGAUGCUCUGCAGUCUCUAAUUUGAAACCGCCGACAUGGUCAUAAUACGGCACUUCAAAUUGUUACGACAGGGCAGAUACACCGUAUAAUUCUAUUCGGAAUUAUAUAAACACAAAUGCCAGACGAACCCAACUGAUUGAGUCUGACGAAGUGAUCCCUGUUUCGUCCAGUUCAUUCAGCUUCUCAUGCUGUCUUGGUUCAUGUUGAAGUCAGUGUAUAACUGUUUGUGGUUUUCUUAGUGACAUUCUCUUGGGUUCUCUGGAAAUGCACAAUGCCCUAAUCUAAAUACCUCCUUCGUGAAAUGUCUAUCUUGAGCUUUGUCAGCAUUUGACCGGAUUCUAGAUGGAACGUCAGUGUCAACUAUCAGGCAGCUCUCGUGGCAAUGGAUCUUCAUUAAGUUUAUUACACAAUGUAGCAUCUGCUGUUGCGGCUGAUAAUCAGAAAUCGGUAUCUUUCGCGUUCAAGAUAGUAGCAAAAGGUUCACCUUUUGUAGCUGCUCAAGUGCCACAAAUUCAAUGCAUCUGAAAGCUGCAUCACUUUUGCGAAUUAUUUGUGCCAUGCUGAAUUAAGUCGGUGAUGAAAUAAUGAGGAGCCAGCUCUACGCACGCAGUCCAUUUCCCGAAAUGUUCACAUGCAAAACGGCUAACAUACGAAUCAAAAUCUCCAGGUACUAAUAAUAUUAAAGUUUUCUCUUUCUCACAGGUCAAGAGCGUCAUACUCUGUGAUGAUGGUAUUCCUCUAAUGUAUAACGGUGUCAAUGCUAAAGACGAUUCUCAGCAAAUUUCCCUGUCAACGUGUCCUGGUGGGUUCAUAUUCCGUGGCAGUACUUCCAACUUGAGGUUUUCAAGCGUACAUGACAUCUAGUAGCGUCCACUAAAUAAGCUUUCAUAUCUCCUGACAGAGCUAGGGAAGAUUCAUCAAGAACUUAGGAACAUUCUGCACAGAAAGAAUCUCUGGGUUGAUUUGCAUAAAGAACACCUCAUGUGGUUUUCUAAGUGUACUCACAGCAUGUUAAGCCAUUUCGAACCCCAGUUUGUGGUGAGCAGGAUGCCUUCUUACAAAAAGAGGGCUCAACAACCUUGUUCCAUGACCCGGACCCAACGGUGGUGAGUCCUCCAUCCUUUAGGAAAGAAGAUCGGUAACAUUGAGGCCUCUGGGUAAAUUUAAUGGCUUGUUGUUAGGUACCGUGUCCAGAACCGGAGUGGAAGGAUUAAAGGUGACCUUGUCAUGAGCUAGCGGAGUCAAUCCGCUCAGACAAAUAAUGAUUUGGAAAUGCGGGCACAUGCUGCAGUUUGUACACUUCUCCUAAUCGGUCAGAACUCCAGCUGGAUCGCUCUCAGAAACACACUUAUCACUGCAGCGACAAGCGAAGGCUUACAACAAAUUGGCAUCCCAGUGGCAUCCACAUCCACACACAUGACCGAGCGAGGACAGAGCAUGAAAUAGGGAUCGUAGAGCAAUCAAUGCUCCGCUACUAACCCUACGAGCUCAAAAUCAUGACGCAUUCUGUAGACAAGAAACGCUUGGCUUUACUGUUAACACCCUCGCGCAGUUCUAUCGCAGCCCAGUGACUGUUCAGCAUUGCGUGUGAUGAGAAUGCAGGAUAGUGAGAUUGAGUGUUCAAUACAAGUCAUACGCUGGAUUCCGCGACAAUUUCUGGUGUCUCGUCGAAUGUGCGGCCUAGUGGCUUUGCCGAUGUAGUGGGCUGGAUGUGAACCAGUUCCUUUUCACACUGGGACACUGUUUGAGGAUUGCUUCCAUGUUCGAAACCUGAAUAGAAAACAUACCAUGUGUGAUUUAAUUCAUUGGACUUUAGUUUUAAACUUGACUUCAAAUGUAAAGGAAUAUUUGUGAGUUAGUAUUUUUCCUGCUUUUUUUCUUUUAUUUUCUUUUCUUUUUAAUUCAGAGUUGGUGUUUGAUCAAAAAUAAGUAGAAAGUUGUAUGGUUUAUUAUCAAAAAAUAGUUAUGUACACUUUACUAAAAGACGUAGAUUAUAUUUAACUAAAAAAAUAUAUAUUUUCUAAGGUAUUUGUCUAAACAGUAUAAUGUUGAGGGUUUUAUUUUUUUAAUAAAAAGAAAAAAAUGAAAUGUAUCUUACAUAUUAAGACAAUGGUGUCUUUUUGUUUGUAUACAUCUACCAAGAGUACGUUCAUUUAGACAACUAAAAAAAAAAAAAAAAAAAAAAAAAAAAAUGAAAUUGUUUGAAAAUGACAAUUAUUUCAUUCUAAAAUUUGAAUACACCUCCACACAUAACCCACUUGAAUAAUUUAACAAUGAUUAAUUAAAGUGGCAAUAAAUGUACAAAUGCCUUCAAGGAAAACAAAGCAAAGUUAGUAUCCUCUAAUUUUGCAAUACAAAAAUUGGACAGCAUUCCACUAUUGAACAAAGUCUAUAAAACCUCUACAUCUUAAAUGUGUCUCUACUUGUUUACUCAUGGUGCAACAAUAUAUUGAUUAAUUGAUGCUUUCACAAACAAGGCCAAUUAAAGUAUCUACUAUGUAGGACUAAUCAGAGUCAGCAACCUAGAAAGCAUUACUUGGCAAUUUAACAUUGAAACAAUUGGAUGCCUAUAGUAUUUUAAACUCAGAAAUCUAUAUUUUCCAAAUUUAAUAUGGUGCCAAUGCACAACUUAUCCCAUAUUAUCUUAGAACCAAUUCUCUAUACAAGUUUGGUUAAAAAAAUAUUUUAUAUUCAAGAAAUAUAAAUAAAUUUUAGAAAUAAUUAAAAUAAUUAAAAACAAGGUGUGUAUGUUGCAAUUGUGAGAACAACUUUAAGAAAAUUGCAAUAAUAAGAAUAAGGUGUGUAGUGUAACUAUUGUUGUUAAUUUAACUUAUGAACAAACGAAAUAUUCAAUGAAAUAUUAAAUUUUUAUGAAUAUCUUAAAGUUCUAAUAUAUUGUUCUGAAUUUACAACAUUGAUAACACCUAGUAUUCUAUAUUAAGAUAGAAACAAUAAUAUUUUUAUAAAAAAAAGGCAUUUUAUUUUAUUUUACAAGAACUUUUUCCAAUGUUUUGCAACUGGCCUCACACAAAUACAUGUAAAAUUGUAAUGACAUAUGUUUAACAACCUUGAAUUUGAAAUUUUAGUAUUUUUUUAAUAUACUAUUUUUUCUUUCAAACCUUGUGAUAUGAAUAAACUAUCCUGUGUUUUAUAUUCCUGUCCAUGACUUAUUUAGAUUGUGAUAUUGCAUUCCCUUUAUAUAGAUUAGGCCUCAAUUACAAAAAAAAUUGGAUAUACAUUGAAUAUUAACUUUAAAUUCUACAAACUAUUGUGGUUAAAUUCUUUAGCUAUAAUCACUUAAGAUACAUGUAAUAUUAAAUAUCAAAAUAUCAUUAAUUAUAGAAGUGGAAAAAAAUUGAAACAAGGGAUAAACAAUUCUUUAUAGUCUUUUUUCUUGUUUUUUUCUUUUUAAUGCUACAUCAAUAUUGAGAUGUGUUCUAUAAUGAGUGCUAUAAAAUAUAUUAACUUGUAUUUAAAUUACCCCGUCAUUAAGUUAAAAAAUUAAAAAAUUAAAAAAUUAAAACACACACACAUCCAAUUUCUUGUUCCUGUUUAUAAAUUAAAAUUACCUUAACGUUUCAAUCCAAUGAUACAAUCAUAAAACUAAUCAAAUCCAUCCUCUAUCAAACCACAACUUUAUUUCUAUGAAACUUCAAUUAUGCUUAUCCAAAUCCAUAGGAAUUUAAUCCCAUGCCUUUUUCCUCAAGCGCAUUAACUAACAUACAAUUAUGAGACUAGAUCCUUUAAACCCUAAAUCUCCCAAUCCUUCAAUGGUCCUUGUGAGGCCCCUUCGCCGUGGCUUAUCUAUUGCCGGGGUAGGUAGGGCCCCCUAAAGUCGGUAGGUAGGUUGAUAAUGAGACAAUUACUGCCAAUGGGAGAAGGAGCGCGGAAAUUCUGUGAGUCUGUGGACCCCAUUCACACUGCCAAAGCAGCCUCCGAUUCUCAAGUGGGUCUAUAAAGGAGCUUUUUGCCAACCCUAAUUGCAAGCCUGGCCCGCCUUAACCCACUUCCCAGCCUUUUCUCUAUAACACACUCCCCUGUGCACUAAAAGAAAAAGCUAGCACUUCAGUAAAUAACAUGAGUGAAUUUUUUUUUCCAGUUUGACUUCUAUAGUUAAAAAUUGAAGUAUAAUGGAAGAAAUGAUAGUCAGAAAGUUGAGAAGCAUUCAUCAGUUUUUUGAACUGUAAAUAAAUAAGUCCAAUCAAAACUACACAUGUGUCUUUUGACUUCGAGUCAUUGCAUUAUGUGGAAGUCAAUUGGUUGUGUUACUAGAAGUCAAGUCAUUACAUGUUUGGGGUAUGGAACCUCUCACAUUUGUUAAAAAAGGAUCAAGACAAAACUUAUUUUUAGCACUUGUCAUCUCUUACAAAAACAAUUCACUAGGGAAACCAAACAAGACAAAAACCAUCUCUCAUUGGAUGCAUAUCUCAUUGUUUUUAUAAAAAAUGAGGCAAAAAUGAAGCAAUUACUCAACUUUUAAUCAAUCAGAGAUCUAAAUUUGCAUGUUGUUGCUGUAAAUUGUGGAGAAAGUAACAUUGCUAGACCACUAAGCGUGAAGCUUAGAAGCUCCUCAUUGAAAUUUUCAAUAAAUAUUUUUUGGGACCAGUGACACGAGUUUCCACUAGUUAGUUUAUAUUAUAGCAUUGUAUAGAUAUAAUAUCAAAUCUCAAAUGUAUAUUUCUAACCAAUUUGAUUACUAUGGUAAAAGUUGAGAACAUUUAUCUUGCUAUGGCUGACUCAGAAGAAAGGUAGACUUUGAUUUGUGAUCAUCAUUGGCGUAUAUCUAUUUACAUCAGUCAAGAGUCUGCCAGUCUGGGAAUGUUUAAUUAAUCGUCCCUUCUCACAAGAAAGCUAUACUUGUGUAGUCAAUCUUCUAUUUUCUUUUUUUUGACACAAAAGAAGUUAUUAAUUAUGUUAACCUGUCCCCCAACAAAAUAAGAAGGGUUUGUGUUCCCAAAAGCAUGGUCAGCACCUUUGGCAGUGGUGAUGAAAUCCUUUGAGCUUUGGAAAGGCUGACCUUGACCAAGCUAACCAAUCUCUGUUUUUAUACCAAAAUAAGUCUUUGACUAUCUCUCUUUUUUUUCUCUACUUUUUCAUUAUAUGUAUGUAUGAAUAUAUGUAUGUAUGUAUAUGUAUAUUCUAUAUAUGUAUUUUCAUAUUUGAAUACACGUACGCACUCCCUCAUACAGUCAUACAUGUAUUGACAUACUCUUUAGUUUAAACUCAGUUUACUGAACAUGUGUGAAUUGUCUAGUUUUAGGUACUUCUGCUCUAAAUCAACUACAGGAGUGAGAAAUUUCAAAGGUUUUAUGUUUUUGUGAUAUAAAUAUGUAGUUGUUUAGACAAACAUAAUCAAGUAAUUUGAGGAAUUUAUACAAAAAAUAAAAUGUGUUAUAAUAAUUGUAAAAUAAAAAUGUAAUUCAUGGACAUAUUCUGCAAAUUCUCCACAUGGGUUCUGUUCACAAAUGAUCACAUUCUAAUUAAAUUAAUUAUCCAACAUUGAUAUUUAUUUCUAAAUAAUUUUUUACUUGAUAUAGUCUUACUGAAGCACAUAUUCCAUUAUUAUAAAAACAUCCUCAAUUGUCUUACUUUUACUUUUAGUUCACUUUUUUUUUCUCUCUCCCAAUGAUUUCGGAGAAUUUCUUGUUGUUGAUUUUGUUUUUAUUGCUUUGUGUAGUUAGUUAUAUUAAUGAACCACCACUCUCAUAUUGGUAAACAUUAGUGACAAAGCAUGUCUGCAUUCAUAGCAAUUGCAUGCUAUCUUCGAUUUCCAAUGAUCUUGGUUAGUUUCUAUGAUUUGAAUGUACCUAAUAGUGUUAAAAAAUCAUCUAUGUUUAUUAGCAUAUACAUAUAUGCAAUUGAAGACUUGUCAAAUAUUAAAGUGUUUUUUAUGGUGAAAGUCAUGACAAUAUACUCAUGGUUGGAACUGUAAAAACUCUGUUUGGUUAUGUUGAAUUUAUCCUCUUAACCAUAUUGAGCAUAGUUUCUAUAUACAUAUGGAAUGUUAUUUUUCUCCCUCAACAUUUCAAUAGCAAUCCUAUUAAAGGCCUUAAACUAUUUGUUCAUUUAUUACUGUCUUUUCAUACUCUUUCACACUACAGCACACAUCAAUUUCAUUACUUUCACCGUUAUGAUUGGAUUGCAGAUGCUUGUUUUACAGUUGUUGGUAGAUGUCCCUUUGUCCUGCAUGCAUGAUCUUGUAUUAGUUAUAAAUAAUUCCCUUCUUAAACCAAAUCAAAAGUUAAAAUUAUUCAGGAUCCAACCAUUAUAAUAUAUAAACUUAAAUUUAAAGGAGGAAAUGAAAAAAAGCACAGAACACGGAAAGUGCAACACCUCUUUCAUGUACAAAAUUUAAAAAUUGAUUAAAAAAAAAAAAAAAAAAAACUGUGAGAUAGAAUUGAAUGUGAGAAUGAAUAACAUCAUUCCUUUCUCAUUAUCAUCCAAACCAUCAUCUAAAUUAUCAUCCAAGUUAUUAUUCAUCCAAGUUCCCACAAAUUCCACUUAUUGCUGACUCAUCACUUGCUUUUGCCACUGUUCCACUAAGUGGGGGGGAGAAGGGAUCGCGCAGGGAAAACAAGUCGGUAAUAAAUAUGGUGCGAAUUAUCUCCUUUACUUCAGCAUUCAUCACUAGUGCAGUUUCUAAAACUUGAAAGGGAGCCGAAAGUCUGAAGGGGCGCAGAGAAUUUUCCCAGGAAGCUGCCCGGCCCUUAAAGGCGUGCUUUGGCCAUGUUCUCUUGCCAAAGCACAAAGAUAGAAAAACGCAUGGGGGACAAGGAUAUGCAUGGUGGGAUUAUUUUUUAUUAUUUUCAUUCCAUGGCAGCCUCAGUUUGCCCCCUCCGCUACCACAUGUGCGCCACCCUUGAUUUAUUCCCGUUUUCUGCCCUAGAGUUUCUUUGGAAAUUUUACCGGAGGAUUUCAUCCAUCGGCGGCAGUCUGGGUUCUGCCCUCCCGCUUCCCCCCCGCUGCCUCCGCGGGCCAAAACAGAUUUACGCGAAAGAAGUGUCCCAAAUUAAUAUAAGUAACGUGAGAAGUCAGCAGCUGGGAAGGCUGGGGCGAGUGGCAGUGGAUUCUAAUUGUGUUGGGAUGGUUCAGGAUUCGAUACCAUGCGGCAGCGCCGAAGACCUUCUACAGAAAUCUCUGUUUUAGCCCUUCUUUUAAAUGCCAAAUCGCUUCGCCCUAGACCUCCGUAAGCAUCUGCUCCUCGGCCCUGGGUUCCGAUUUGCGGAGGAUGCCUCAGGUGAGGGCACGACCGGACAUAAAAAUAAUAUUGUUGAGAUGGCCCGGAAUCUAUUCAUGGAUGAACAAGAGUACUUACCAUGGUCUCGUUCUGGAGGAUGUUUCGCCGUCGCCUGUGUCGCCCCAGCCCUCGGCGUCGGUACUAGUGUUUUAUCCUCUGGUAAAGCAGCUCCUUACAGAGAGAAGGUAUCAGUAACUCGAGGUGGUUAAUUUUGUCCUUUCUCGGCUGGCAGUCAUAGCCUUCGGAAGCCGUACGAGGAACAAGCUGCGCUUAUUAUCUGGGGAAGGUCAUAACAGAGAUACCGAACUACAAGAACCUUCAUGUUUUAUGGUAUUUCGCUUCUAUGAGACCUUGAUUCAAACCCUCAUCACCAAAUAGUAUCAAAAUAAAAUAAAAAUUAACAGAAAACAACUACAAUCACUACGUUAGCUUAUCGUUAACGCGCAUAAAAAAGUAAAGUCAAUAUCUAAUUGAUAACAUAAUUGUGUAGACGCUGUGGAGGCUGUGAAAUGGCAGUUUAAAUCUCAUUGACUCAAGCUGAAAAACGUGCUAUUUAACCUGCAGUACACGUAUAGAUUGACGUGGCAUUCAAGUCGUAAACAUGGAACGGAUUGCUCCGAGAGGAACGCAUGACUUGAACCAAAUUUGAAACUAGGGCCAACGAGGAGUUGGGAAUAGGAAUAUAUGCAUGUAUGGCUUGUGUACGUAUAUAUUCUCCAUAUAUACAGGAGAUACGGAUUCGGGACUUUAGCUUUUUCAGGCAUGGAGUCGAUGGGGGGGGGGUGCAUGCAUGACCAUGGGGGAUGGGAUGGUAUGGCCCUAGAGGUCGACUCCGACUGCAUCGUGUUCGGCUGCUUUGUCUCUCUGGAGUCUUCUGUAUGUUUUUCGACGGGCCUUGAGCGCGCUCGCAAUUCCCUCCUCAACCCCGCCUCUCUAACGGAUUCCUGCGUCCCCCCCACUCCCAUGGUUCCCUUCAAUCUCUCCUUCGUUCGCCACUUUAACGCACCGUGCCUCGUUUUAAAGCCAUUACUCGGCCAUUUUCGUGGACCCUUGCGUAGUCUCAUAGGCGGAGCGUUUUUUUUGUUUUUUUUUGUUUUGGACAUGCGAUGUCGUUUGCCGUGGUAAAGAGACUGCAUGUUGGUAGUGUUCGGUAGAACGAGGGAUAGGGAGAGAGAUAGAGAUAGAGAGAGCGAGAGAGUGCGGCAUUGGUGAGCCUGACGCUGUGGACGAGCAGGCGUUGUGGAACUUGAACGAAUCUUCACCUGAGAGGCGCUCUUACAAUUUUUUUGCGUGAGCCAUCUCCACAGAUGGGCAGGCAUAGAGAGGACUUUCUAGGGACGAUCGAGAAUGGAUUGUACUGGGAAGCGCCGGUGUUGAAUCAAUGCCGUGACCACAAUAACGGUAUUGGUAACGGGUGUGUGCAUUACGUUAGUAGCUUCAAAUCCAGAAGUAUGUUCAAUGGCAGGACGAGUAAUUUGGAGAGAACGAGUACAGCGUCGGCGGGGAAGAGUGGGAAGUGGCCCAGCGCUUACCGGAUACUUAUUGCUGUUCUGGUGGUUUUAUUCCUGAUUGGCACUGUCACUCAUGGAUUCGUCUUCCUUCUGUUUGGCUAUACCGACUUGCAAGUGGAUUCCCCGAAGAUUUUUCCAACGGUUUUUGCAUCGGAACAGGAAACACCGAACGACGACGUGAAAUUUGUGCCGCGCAACAUAGUGGAGAGAUUGUUGUUAUCAAAAGGAAAAGUCACCGUCGCUGAUUUGAGGAAAGAAAAAAGAUUUCCUGUGCGACCUCCGCGGCUUGCCUUGGUACGCAUCGACAAUUUUUCUUGAUCGCACGUGCUUGUCGUUCAUCACGAGGCAUAGUGUAAGUGUGUUCUACGUCAUUGGCAGUGAGGACGUUUCCGAUGAAAUGCUUAAAACUUCACUACAGGUAAUCGUCAUCGUUUACAAGUCAAAGCCGCGAACCUUUCGUAGGGCCCGUUGGAACGACGGCAUUCACCCUCGCUUAUCCUUUCAUCUUGUUGUGCCACUAAUCCCCACAAUUGAAUCGUAAUAGCGUUCUAGAAGUGGGCUUACGAAUCAGUAAAGGGUCGCAGAAUCGACGGAUUGCAUCAAUGCCGUACAGGAUUAGUAUUGUUCAAAAAGAGUUUUCGAGGUCCAUUGCAGACGAAUCAAUUCCAAUCCUUAUCGGAUUAGCGUAACGAUUGGGCAAGUCAGUGUUGAUCGUCGAAUAGAGAUGUAGUGUGAGUAAACAUGAAUCUUUGAGACAGUAGUUAGACAAUUAGAAGAGAAUUCCUUUCACAAGGCCCAAUCAAAGCUUCUUGUGCUAACUGACUUUGUAUGGGGAACCGCUAGGGAAUGUUUUUAAUGAAUGUUUGGCAAUAUCAAGCUCUUUUUCUUUUAUUUUUAGCAGCAGCACAGAAGAUAACCAGGUUGGUUUCGACACGCUGACUGCACUGAUCCUGGAUUUCAUGCAAUCUCAGAUUUGUAACAGUUUCCUUUGCGUCUCUGCAGGUUUGUCCCAACCUUGUCCGGAAUCCGCUCUCUUUGUAUGUCCUUACUCUUGCAACAGGAUUGCAAGAACUGGGCUACGACUUAGAGGUAAACGUGAUUUCUUUGACGACUUUCAAAUAUGUGCACAACCUUUCCCACUACACAGACCCUUCAAGUAUAAUUCCUUUUUGUUAUUUAGUUUCUUUUUGUUACUCCCCCCCGCUUUGCUGAAAAUUAGUUAUCUCAGUUUCUACCUAACGUUAGGUUUUCUAUGAUGGAUUAACAUCUUGAAACCGAGGUGACAAUUUGACUUUCAUUAGAUGAUAUUUUGGAAUUCUAGGUGAUUUUAUUUUAUUUUUUCUCGUCAUGGAUAGUGAGGACGUCUUGUUGAUACAUGAUGCAGGUGCACACUCUGAGAGAUGGAGAGCUCCGCCCAGCUUGGGAGGCCUUGGGUGUGCCAGUCAGGCAACUGAGAAUUAACGUUCAGAACGUAACUAGUGUUGACUGGCUGAAGUAAGUACUGUGUUCUGUCCAGCCAAUCAUUGAAGUGUCUUACAACUAUCUUUUUCUUUAUAUCAGAAGUAUUAUGCGGAAGUCUAUUCUAUCACAGAAGAUUGUUACCUAUAGCCAAGAGCUUGCGUUUAAUAGAUCUGCAAUAACCAUGUAUUGUACGUGACGAGGAUGUGAUAUGUCGAAUGAAAUCUUUGGGCGGUUAAACAUCCAUGAAAUCCUGAUUCUUGUGAAUGGUUUAUUCCAAUGUUGUGCAGCUAUGAAGGUGUUAUUUCUUUUUCUGUCAACACGAAAGCUGUCAUAAAUAGGUAUGUGUAUGAAAUUUUUCUAUCCCAAGGCUGCCCAUGUAAACGAACCGCAUGGGUCUUAUUCUUUAUUCCUUCCAUCAUUUUCUGCUUCUCACUGGUGCGCAUCAAAUGGUGAUUUUGGCUGUGACAGAAUCUAGCACUAAUAGUGUGCUGUUUUUGAGCCAGUCUUGCGCAGGAGCCCUUCAGAAAUAUCCCAGUUGUAUGGGUAAUAAACGAGGAUUCCCUAGGCCGACGGCUCGAGGAUUACGGUUCCGCGGCUGCAGAGGGACUCAUCUCCGACUGGAGACAUAGUUUUAAAAGAGCAGAUGUAGUGGUUUUUCAAGACUAUGCACUAACGGUAUGCUUCACUGGAGCUAUCUUACCUGGAUUACUUUAUAUGUGUGACCACCAGUCCGUGCCAUGUACAAAAUUUCGGUUAUCGUUACUUUCUGAAACCGCUGUUGACUAUGAUUUCCGCUUCAGAAAAGGUUUCUUGAACUGUUGAGAAAGUUCAAUGCAAUCGGGUUAUUGUAUUCUAAGUAGCAACUUUAAAAAGAUGAAUUUGGUCAAGAAGGACUACUUGAAUUUGUACUGACCAUCCGUAUUCGUGCCUUCAGAUGGUUUACACCAUGCUGGACACUGGAAAUUUCUUCGUCAUUCCAGGAUCACCUCUAGAAGUGUGGACUGCUGAGAACUACAAAAUCACACAUUCUCGAGACAGCCUACGUGCACAGUAUGGGGUGCAUCAUGAUAGCUCCGUAAUAACUGUUGUGGGGAGCCCUUUCCUUUACCAUGGAUUGUGGAGAGAACAUGCUCUAGUCAUGCGUUCGUUAGCAAGAUCUGUGUCAACAUUCGGUGACGCAUCUACAAAAGGUGAUAGGCUUAUCCAGCUAUUUAUCAUUGGCCAUGGCAACCAAUCAAGCAGCUAUGGUGCUUCCUUGCAGGUGAAGUGUGCUGUUUUGAAAUCUUUUUAGCGACAUAUUGUGCUCGUGAAGUUUGCCUUGAAGUAAGAGUAGCUGAAGUAGACACAUUACGCGGUCUACAAUGAAGUUUCUUAUGUCACAUUUUUGUUGAUAGGUUGAUUUGUAAUGAGUGAGACAUUUUGAUUUUGGCAGGUAGAAUGAACUAACGAUAGUUUUGUUAGGAUCGAUAUGUGCGGUCCCAAGAGGGUGAAAUGCGUGUAUUAUAGCAAUCACAUGGUUUUUUUUAAUGGUGGCCACAGAUUAUGGCAGAGCAUCUUGGGUUGAAGAAUGGCACAGUACGUUAUGUAGGUGCUGGUGAGGAUGUAACGGGCGUGGUGUGGAUGUCGGAUGCCGUUGUGUAUGGAUCAUUCCGUAAUGAACAGUCGUUUCCAUCGAUAUUGAGUCUGGCCAUGAGCCUUCAGCGGCCGGUGAUCAUACCCAACCGAAGAGUAUUUCGAGAGCAAGUAAGAUUGAAUUUGGCGAUGGGGGUGGCGGAAACAAGCUUUUCAAUUAUUCGUGUGAAUUGGGUCACAACGUUAGUCGGAGAUCUGGUUGACAGAUGUUAACUAGAAACUUGGAAUUGGUGUAGCAUGGAGUGAGAUUUGAUAAUUAGAAUUUUUCUGUGCACAGUUUCUGGAGGUUCAGUGGUUUGGACGUUGGUUUGGGUACAUGUGUGGUUCUGUAACUGAUUGGAUUUGAAAUUAUGACACAGAUUGUGGAUGGAGAAAAUGGCAUCUUGUUUCCUGUGGGGGAUGACGUGAAACUGAGUGAAGCUAUGGUACGUGUAUUAAGAAACAAAGCAGAAGCAGGUGCAUUGGCAUUGAGUGGGCAAAUGAAGGCUCAAAACAUGUGUGCUUUAAAUGUGAGUCUGAGUUACGGGGAGCUUCUGGAGAGCGUUUUGGAGUUUCCUGUCGAGGCAGAGCUACCGCGUCGACUGGAUGAAUCUGAGAAGAGUUUAAAAGAAGGAUGGCGUUGGGACUUAUUCUUCCCAGCUAAUGCUCCUCUCUGGGAGUACUUCCAGUCCCGGAUGCAGGGACCAAUGGUUGCAAAUGACGAUAUUGGUGGUAGUAUCAUCGAGGUUUUGGAGGAGCAGUGGAAUGUACAUAGUGGUGUAGUUCAGAAUUUUAGCGACAGCAUGGGAUUUGAUAGUUUGACCGAGGAUAACAAUAUUGCCAACGACUUUGUCACUGAUUUUGAUCUACACGAAGCCAAGGCAAUAGAAAAUGAGCUUGAAGCAGAACGAAUUGAACGAGAAGAGGUGUGCCCUUGGUACCUGUGAUUUAACCAUGAACAGUAUUCUGUGAAGUUACUGACCCUUCCUUGGGUUCCUCAGAAUUUACAGAAUCCAAUGAGAUAGUAUUUAAGUUUGAUAACCCUUUUCGGACUUCUGAACAUUUAGCGGGUUUGACAUGAUUGAAUGGCAAGUGUCAAAGACGCAUGUGCGUUCCCCCCCUCCCCCAUAACUCUGACUUCUGUCUUCAUCUUUUUUUUUCGCAGUUGCUUGAAAGGAAGAUUCUAUUGCAAUCUACUUGGGAGGAUAUCAGCAAAAUGGUGAAAAAAACUGAGGUUCACAAGGAUGAUUUGAAAGAAAGAUCCGAUGCAGAAAUCCAGCGCUCUGGACAACCUUUAUGUAUAUAUGAGCCAUAUCAUGGUACAGGUGCAUGGCCGUUCCUUCACGACGAGAACACUCUUUAUCGAGCCAUAAGUCUUGUAAGCUACUUAGCCAGCUCUUGCCAUUCUCAUGAGUGUAUGCUGUUAUUUAGGUCUGCUGAUCUAUGUAGAUUAUAUCCAGAUCAUGUAUUUCACCUAAAAAAGGAUAAUUUGACUGAAUUCAUCGUUUAAGUCAUAUAUGAUUGUUCGAUCUUGGAAUGAAACCACUGCGUCAUUGUAAGAACAACGCAAGAGCUUCAAUUCUUUCUGUAGGUUUUGCGUGCUUCAGUUCUUUGUAUUAUGUCAUGCUCAUGUCCUGGCAGUGACAGGUUGAUGCGCCAUUGGACACUGAGGAAUAUUAAGUCUCUAGUGUAUACUUUCUUCUAUCCUCGUACCUGUAAGUUGAUAUUAUUAUGGCUUUAAGUUGUAACGUUACAACUGGCUGUUGCAGAUUACUUCAUGUUUUUUUUAUUUGAAUUUCCCUUCUUUUUGCAGUCCACACAUGCAAGGCGUCCGACAGAUGAUGAUGUUGAUGCCCAGGAACGGUUGCCUGGACUCUUGAACGACUCAUAUUAUCGCAAUGUUUUGUGCGAAUUUGGAACAUUUUUUGCGAUCGCCAACCGCAUUGACGUUGUCCACAAAAAUCCGUGGAUUGGCUUUCAGCCGUGGCGGGCAUCAAGCAGAAAUGUAUGUAAAUCUCUUGUUGAAACUUGUAAGCUAGAUCGACACCCGUUCUGUAACUUGAACGCUUUUGUUAUUUCAUGCAUUUGUUAUAAAAUGGUAGGCACAUUGUACUAACAAGGAUACAUUGAAUUCAGGUUGCAUUGACAGCCGCGGCUGAAGCUGCUCUGAUUGAAGCAGUGAGCACCGGGAGAGAUGGUGAUGCCGUCUACUUCUGGGCUCGAACUGAUGGCAAUGCUGGUACAUCAGGGGAGGGUUCUUUUGUAGAGCCAGCAGUUAAUUUCUGGACUUAUUGUGACUCUGUCAAUUCUGGGCAAUGCAGGUAUGGCUCUUUUCAUUGCUCUCCAAGGAAAUGCUCUCAUGCGAAAAAAAUGAAUAGAAGUGGAAGUUAUUCGAAGCUUAUAACAAACUAACUAAUGACAUCAAAUCAUAGACCUGGAUCAUGAACACCAUACUGAAAAUACUAAGUACAGUUGAGCCCUUCUAAUGGACCUCAGAGCCGAAAUUUGACGGUAUGACCGUCUGCUAAUGAAAGACAAUAUUAUUAGUAGCGCUUGUCAUUUGCAUGUCGUUUUCCUGGUCCACGAAGUGCUCAAACAGGAUAGGAAUAUGAAAUGAUUAGACCUUAAGCAGUUUUAAUCUUGCAGAGAGGCUUUUACUAUGUCGAUGAGGCGCAUGUAUGGCCUGCCUGAUAAUUGGACAUCUUUGCCGCCGAUGCCAGAUGAUGGUGGCACCUGGUCUGCCUUGCAUUCCUGGGCAAUGCCGACAUCAUCUUUUGUGGAGUUCAUCCUGUUUUCGAGGUAAUUUCUUCUCAUGGCGCAGUCCUCAGUCCCAAGUUCACUGUUUGCCAAUGUUUCGAGAUGACAAUGUCGCAUCUCUUCCUUGGAGCCGGUGCUUGGUUAUUGAGGUAGUAAUUCCAUCAUUAUUUACUGAACAGAAUUCCUUGGCGAGUUGUGCAUGUCAGAUACUUGUGCCACCAUUUUUUGUGCAUAUAAUGACUGAUGAGUCAAACGGUUAUUCAUGACAGGAUAUUUGUGGAUGCACUGGAUGCUCAGUAUUACGAAGAACAUCACUAUCUUGGAAAGUGUCGCUUUGCUAGUUUCCAGCGUGAGGUAAUUCUUUCCCCUGUUUUUUAAUCGAAUGCUGCACCAAUUUUUUCUCCACUACAAGGAUGCAAAAUUUGAGGGCAUUUUCAGAUACUUUCCACAUAUUUUCAGGGACUCUAAAUAGAUCACAUCAGAGCAUUGGUCUUGACCAUGGGACAUGACAUUUUCUAUUUCCUUGCAGGGUCAGCAUUGCUACUGCCGGCUACUGGAAGGACUGGUCAACGUAUGGGCAUAUCACAGUGCCAGGAGUAUGAUUUAUGUGAACCCCAAAACAGGGGAGAUGGAAGAGCAGCAUGCGCUAGAAUCACGUCUUGGCAAUAUGUGGGUCAAAUUUUUCAGCUUGAGUACCCUCAAGACCAUGGACGAGGACCUUGCAGAGGCAGCUGAUGAUGGUGACCAUCCCAGGGCACGGUGGUUGUGGCCACAAACUGGUGAAGUAUUCUGGCAAGGAAUUUUUGAGCGUGAAAAAGAAGAGCGAUUGAGAUUAAAGCUGGAAAAAAAGAAAAAACUCAAGGAAAAGUUGGCUCGGAUGAGGAAUAAGACGUACAGGCAAAAAUCUCUGGGAAGAUACAUCAAACCUCCCCCGGGACUAGGAUACCUAUCUCCUUCCGGAUGAACUAGGCCAAAGUUGUCGUGGCAUCCAAAAUGAAGUCAGCAUCACCACUUUCUGGACAAAAUUACUGUCCUUGAGACUCACCAAUAUUUGCCGAGGAAGAAUCGAAAGCUGGAGAUUACAAUCCAGGUACUGGGCUCCAUCAAGUUUUAACAGAUUGUAACAACAGUCUACAUCCAAACAGUAACUGCGAAUGGUUGAUUGCUGUCUCUCGCUCGGCAGCUUGCAUGAAGUCGAUAUCCUUCCUUAGGGAGCUGCAGCUACUGGGAUCUUGGUGAUAAACACAAGAUUUCGGAAGAGCACAAAUUCAAGUUUGAGGUCCUGAAACUUAAUGAAUCAGGAUGUUCUGAGACAUGUUCUCCUGGCGACAUUCCUUCGGGAGAGUGGUUCCAAGAUCUGAAUAGUUGAUUAAUUUUACCUCGUGCGUGUUCUAUUGCAUCAUAUACCCAAAGUGCAGACUAAGAACUGACAGAAUUGAAAGAUGAAAACUCAGGUGGCAUUGCGGGCUUGUCUGAGAAACCAAACCAGAAAAGUUUUUCUAAAAUUUUCCCAUCGAAAGGGUGAGCGCUUGAAGGAAUGCUCCAUAAUGAUGUGGACUACAAAGGUACACAUUCUGCUCAGAAUCACAUUCCAAAUGGGGAGAUUUAACUAGAAAUUGUUCUGAUUGGACAUUGUACUGCUAGUUCUGAGGGUCGAUUUGAGCUUCUUCUGUAAGAAAAAAAAAGGAUUUUAACUGAAACUAGGAGGUUGUAAAUACAGGUCACUCUAUUUUGAGCUUGUUCCUUGCAAGCAUUCUUUUAAUCCGACUUUUCCGUUUUGGAAUCGUUGAGGGAACGAAAUACAUUUCCAGAUCAAGCUGUAUGCUGACAUGAAUCCUAUAUGUGAAGGCAGUGUUGCAGUGGUUGGGGAGUUUACUUAACCAUGGAGUAAACUUUUCUUGUUUGCAUUUUGCAAUUUAAUUUAAUCGGCGAUCCUGUGACCUAUUUAUCCGUUGACAAAAUUUUCGUGUACUGACUUCUUUUACAAUUUUUGUGGACUGAUUUUAAUAUACAGCACAACGAUGGGUUCGACAGAAGUAUUUGUAUAGGAAGUUUGCAUGUUCUGGAACUAAAUUUGCAGCAUGGCCAUUAGUUUUAUGAUUUCUUCUGCCGCAUAGUUCACAUGCUGCCCAAUCAUCCCCAUAUUUUCUCAGUGCUACAAAACAAGCUGGAUCUUACAGGUUCGGUUGACCAUUAUUUGUAAUGUGGACUUAACAAAUAAUUUGCUGCUAUUUUUCACUAAACAACAGUUCGUACAAUACGUAACAGGUUAUUUGUGCUCUACCAUGACAAUAUGAAAGUUAAAACCCACAAAUCUGCACAUCUUUGGAGCAGUCUUACUCAAUUGGACGACCACAAAGAAUUAAUCUCCUCAGUUCAUCAUGGAUGAAUAUCUGAAGUCAAAGAAUCAACCCACACAUUGUGCAUAUUAUGGAUUAAUAUCUAAAAUCAAUACUCAUCCAUGUUUGGGAUAUUUGGGUUAAUUAUUUUUCAAAAUCCUUGCUUGAUUUGUUAACAUGAUGAGAGUGGUCCAAAAGAACUUACAUGUCUCAAAAUUUAAAGAUAAUGAGAGUAACUCAAGAAAUAAUGACCUUAUAAAAGUUGCUUGUCUUAAAAUUUAAAAUUAAAAAGAAUAGCUUAAUGUAAGUCAAUCUAAAAGAAAUUGCAUGUUUCAAAGAUUAUGGCUUAAUUUAAUGAAUUAAUACUUAAGAAAUUUUAAAGUUGGUACAUUAUCAAUUUAGCUUUAAUUUAGAAUCUUGUUGUUUACAAAAUUUAUCUUGAGCAAACACAAAGCUUCUCUAGAACUCUCUAAGUUUUGUUCUCAAAAUCAUAAGUAUAUUUAUGAAAAAAAAUGAUGCUAUUCCUACUUGUUGCAUGCAAGUCAAAAGAUAUAAAGUAAGUAAUAAGUGAAAGGUUGAACCUUUGUUCAAACUUAAAACCUUAAACUUCCUUGUUUCUCUCUUUUCUAUUUUUACUUUAGAGGUACUUCUAUACAAUUUCAAAUAGAACAAUCACUAGAAGUUGUUAGAUUAUUUAAUUUUACUAAAUCACUUUUGAAUUGAGGUUUUUUAUUUAUAGAAAAAAAUAAAAAAUAUCUCAUAUAGGCAAUCUCUAUAUUACUUAAUAUUUUUAGAAAUCUUAGAAAUAUAUACAAGUGAUAAGCAUUUUAGAGCCUUAAGCAAGUAUUUAUAUAUAACACUAAUAAGAGUGGAAUUACUUAUCUCUCUUGUAAAAGGCACAAUCUUCUACAAAAAUAUUUCUUAGUGCUAUGGUUCUUUGAUCAUCUUUGCACCACCUUUGUUUUUAAUUUCUCAUCUUUGUACAAUACAUUUUCUUAUAAUUGAACAAUCUCAAACUUUUGAAAUGAGAACACCUACCACCAUCUUACUUCUUUUACAAUUGUGAUUCAAAUCUCAGAUUAGUUCUACAACAAAGUUUUUAUUUAUUUAUUUAUUUUUAAAAUCUUACUUUAGUUUUUGCUUUUGAUUUUUUUUAAUCCAUAUUGAUUUUUUAAAAUAUUGAUUGUGAUUUUUAAUUUAUAACUAUUGUUUAUAAACUUAAUUUAUGUACAAAUCUUUAUUUUAUUGAAUCACACUACUUACUUGUGCUAUAUUAUGGCUAUGUUCAAUUGGCAUUUCUUAAAUACAUUAGAUUAAUAUAUGAUUUUAAUUAGAUCUUUUAAUUACUUUUUAAAUUAUUUUUAUUUUUUUAUUUUUUUAUUAAAGGAUUUUAUAUCAAAAUAAGAAUGUUAGCCGUUUUUUGUUUUUUUUAUUAUGUCUUUAGUUAUUUUUGGUAUUUAUUUAUUUAUUUAUUUAUUUUUAAGAUUUAAGGAUUAAAAUUUUAAACUAGAUCACACCAAAUAUUAAUCUCAAAAGAAAUUACUGUAAUGACUUAUAUUAAAAUAUAAUGAUAAAGUAGAUAUAUUAGACUUUUGAUUAUAAAAGAAAAAUAUUUAAAGUUUGCAUAUUCUUAUUAUGAUUUUUUUUAAAAAAAUGUGAUGUUUAGAAACACCCUUCUUGAAAACCUUAAUUCUCUUAGAAAUCCUAAAUCUAAAAUUUUAAAAAUCUUAUCAGCUCUAAAUCUCAAAACCUAUCAACUUAAAAUAAACCUUAAAUAUACUCUAUGUCAUUUUUAAAGUAUUCUUAAGAAAAUCAUAAGAGAUCCUAAUAAAAUCUUUAAAAUAUCUUAAGAGAUCCUAACAAAUCUUAAAGACUUUUAUUUAAAUCUUUAACUAAGUUCUAAAAUGAUAGUAAAAAAUCCUAAAUAAAUUCUAAAGAAAAUUAAAACAUAUUCUAAAGAAACUAUAUGAUAAUUCUUAUAAAUCUUGAGAAAAUUCUAAAACAAUUCUUGAAAAAUCCUAAAUAUUAGUGAAUCCUAAUAAUAAUACAAAGAAAUCUUUAGAUAAUUCUAAAAAGUGAAAUAAGUAUAAUUAAGCAAUUAAAUAUUAUAAAACUAAUCAUAAUUUAUUUAUUAUAUUUUUAUUCAUUAAAAAGUAAAUAUAAAUAUAUAUAAAUAUAUAUAUUUUUUAAAUAGAUAAUAUUUAAUAUUUUUAAUAACAUAAUUUUUUUUAUAAAUUUUGAUUACAAUGAGUAAGUUAUGAUAGUUUAAAAAUAAAAAAUAAAAGAUUUAAGUGAAUAAUUUUACCUCAAGGAUGACUUACUUAAAAAAAUAAGAAUUUAAGUCUCACCAAGGAUCAAAAGUAGUGUAUAUGAGUGUUUGUGUUAUCUACAUACCUAUAUUUAUCUACAUAAUAUGAAUAAAUAAAAGUAUAUAAAAAUUAAUUAAUUUAAUAAUAACUUAUAGAAAAGCUUCUUAGAAGCUUUAUAAGUACAAUUUUACCAUUAUGUAUAUAUCUAUAGGUGAUUGAUAGGUUAAAAACUUGGCUAAUAAGUUAGCCAUAUAUUACACAUUGAUAGCUUGUGGUACAAGCUAACAAUGUGGCACUUAUAUAAAAAACUUGUUUUGCAAAUUAACACAUGUGUCUUGUAAAUUGGAUACAUGUUGGAGGUCAUAUAGAACAUUGUCAUAUAAUUCUUAGGUAGAUAGUUGUCAUAGACAUAUAUAUUUACUUCAAUAGUUAGUUAUAUGAUUAAAUAGAAGUAAGUAAAAUAGAAUAAUUUCAUAAAAUUUUCUAGAGAAGCUUCCUAGAAGCUGUAUAGAUGCGGUUUUGACUUUAGAUGUAUUCGUAGGUUAGAAACUUGGCCAAAAAGCUAACCAUGUAUUGAUAGCUUGUGGAAUAAGUUACCUCCGUGUAGUAACUUGUGGAAUAAGCCAACUAUGUGGCGCAUACAUAGAUAACUUACCUUACAAGAUAAGACAUGUGGCUAGCAAAGUCAACACAUGUUGGAAGUCCUAUAGGACAUCGCCACAUGGCUCUUAGUUAGAUAGUAUAUAUGGAGGCAAGCAUGAAGCCUUCUUCACUCUUGUCAAUGCCUUUCUAGUCUUAGUCUUGUUUCAAGACUUUCCAGUCUUCUUGUUUUUGGCAAUAGGUAUUCUAGUUAAUAUUACAUCACCUUUUGAGUGACUUUCUAAUUCUCUUCAGUGAUAGAAGAGUGUAUUGAGGAUUCUCUUUCUUUGAGUUUUAUAUCCUUGAUAGUUUGAGAAGAGUGGUAACAUAUUGUUCUCUCUUCUUCUAGAAGUGAGUGGAUUACUCCACUUCUAUUAUUGUAUUUUGAAGGUUGCAGACUAUCCACCUUUAAAUAAAAAAUCUUAUUUUCUAAUACUGAUCUUUUCCUUAAAGAGAGUGGAUUAUCCCUCUUUGUGGGAUUUGUUUUUAGAGGUUGCGGAUUACCCUCGUCUAAUUUAACUUUUGAAUUCAUUUGAGUUGUCUAUGGAAGAAAAGAUUAUAGAUGCUACUCUCAAUAGAAGUGAGAAUAGAUUUGCAACUAUAGCAGAUCUUCAUGAGCUUGUCAACACUCUAAGAGUGGAAAUCUCAUGUAUUUCCAAUGUGAAUCAUGGAAGUACUAUACCUAUGCCUAUGGAAGAAGUUCAAAGUUUAUGACAGGAAGUUGUGCAGUUGAAAGGAGCAAAUAAAUCAACGUCACAAUCAAAUCCAAGGAAUUUUGCUUCUACAAGUAUGACGAGGACAAGUCCUUUCCAAUAUCUUGAUGGAUUUAUCCAAGUCGGAUUUAUAGGCAUACUACUAUCAGGAAGUAUUCUCUUUUGGUUUGCACCUUUAAUGGAAAAAGAUUCACGACUCCUUUACAAUUUGAAUUCAUUUCUAGAAGUAUUUACGGCCACAUUCAGAGCAAGUGAUCGAGAACGAGUAGCAGAGACCAAGCUUCUAUCCUUAUGGUAAGGAUCACGAUCAGCCACUACAUAUGCUAUGAAAUUCUAAAAUCUUGCUUGCGACAUAGACUGGAACGACAAAGCACUUAUGAACCAAUUUUGAUAUGGAUUGAAGGAUAGCAUCAAAGAUUUUUUAUUAACAAUGUCGAAAGUAGAAUCUUUGAAAUAAUUUAUUACUCAAGCCAUUGCAUGCGAUAAUCAUUUAUUUGAAAGGCAUCAAGAAUAAAGAUUUAAUUGGAGAGGAACAAGUCAAGUAAUGGCGACAGCUCCCAAGUUUUUUGAAACGUAUUUGUCAAAGCUGGAACCAAUACAAAUUGAUAUGAUACAUUUUAAACCUCUCACAAAGGAGGAAAAGACUCGACAUCGCCAAAAGGGAUUAUAUUUAUAUUAUAGAGAAGCUAAGCACAUUGCUCAAUAUUGUCCAAAGAAACAACACAAUUACAAAAUGAGGAGCAUAAUUACCAAAGAAGAUAAUGUGUCAAAAAACGAGUUUCUCUAGCUACAAUAGCGACCGUGCGGCUGGAAUCAUGUGCAACACCUAGUAAAGGUCCUAUCUUCUCCCUAGAUCCUUCACCUUGUUUUAUAAUAGAAGUAUAUUUAGAACCUAAUAAUCACAUAGUCUUUGCCUUGUUAGAUUUAGGAGCCUCAACAUGUUUUAUAGAUGAAGAUUUUGCCUAAAAUCAAAAAAUACAUUUAGUGAAGAAAGUUAAGUCCGUACACGUAGAAGUCAUAGAUGGUCGUUUGUUGUCUUCUAGAAAUAUUAUCCAUGAAACUAUUCCUUUAGGUAUAGCAAUUAAAGAUCAUAACAGCGUAGUAGUAUUUAAUGUAAUAAAAUCUCCCUCUAAUCCAGCUAUUUUAGGAUUAUCAUGGCCAAAAAAAUAUAACCCUCAAAUAGAUUGGAUUUCUCAUAACCUUAAUUUUCUUGAUAGUAUAAUCCAAGAUCGCAUUAGCAAAGUAGAAGUAUGCAAGUUUAGUACAUCCAAACCUUUACUAGUAGGUGCAAAAGCUUUCAUGCAUGUUGCAAAAGAAGGAUCAUCUUUUGCUAUAUAUGCUACACCCAUUUCUAAUGGUGAAAUGAUGUCAAGUGGUAUUCCUAAGCAAUAUCAAGAAUUCCAAGAUAUUUUUGAAAAAAAGAAUGUAGAUAUUCUUCCCGAGCAUCGACCUUAUGAUUGUUCAAUUGAUCUACAAGAAGGAGCUCAACCACCAUUCAGACCAAUUUAUAGCUUAUCGCAGAAUGAGUUGGCUGCAUCAAAGGAAUACAUUGAUGAGAAUUUGGCAAAGAACUUCAUAUGCCAUUCUAAAUUUUCAGCUGGGGCUCCUAUCUUAUUUGUGAAGAAGAAAGACAAAUCUCUAUGAAUAUGUGUGGAUUACCAACGACUCAACAAGAUCACCAUCAAAAAUAGAUAUCCUUUGCCUUUGAUUUCAGGACUUCUUGACCAAAUCAAUCAAGCAAAGAUCUAUACCAAAAUAGAUCUACAAGGAGCAUACAACUUAGUUCGUAUCAAAAAAGGAGAUGAAUGAAAGACUACUUUUCGAACAAGGUAUAGACAUUUUGAAUAUAAUAUCAUGCCUUUUGGAAUCACAAAUGCACCGACCGCUUUUCAAUAUCUUAUGAAUGAUAUUUUUUGUGAGUUUUUAGAUGAUUUCAUUGUUUUCUAUUUAGACGACAUUCUAAUCUACUGUAAGAACACAGAAGAAUAUGAGCUUCAUGUUCGUCGCGUGUUACAAAAACUUAGAGAUGCAGGAUUAUAUGCCAAAUUGGAAAAGUGUGUAUUCCACACUACUCAAGUUGACUUCUUAGGAUACAUCAUUUCCAACAAUGAUGGAUCCCAAGAAGGUUCAAACUAUCAUAGAUUGGAAGAUUUCAAGAAUAAUACAAGAUGUGCAAUGCUUUUUGGGCUUUGCUAAUUACUAUCAAAUCUUCAUCAAAUUUUUUUCUCAAGUUGCAGCUCCACUUACAUGUUUGACUUGUAAAGACAAACUUGAGUGGAAUAGAGAAAUAAAAGCAUCAUUUGAUGCUUUAAAGAAAGAAUUUAUUUUUGCACCAAUCUUAUAUUCCAUUGACUUCUCCAAAGUAUUUUUUUAUGGAAACAAACGCAUCAGAUUUUGCUAUAGGUGCCGUUGUUGUAUUGUGAUUCAGCUAUUAUAUGAAAAUUAUGUAAUAAUGUACUUAAUAUAUAAUUUAUUAAGUAACAUGGUGAGAGCCAUAUUAGUAGAUUUUAGUUGGUUGUAGAAUAUAAUUUGAUUAUUACCUUGAGAAGAGGUUGUUUAAAAAGAUUACUAUAGAAUUUGUAUAAUUUUAAUUUUCUUUUGAUAGUGGCUUUUAAGAUUGGUUUUGGUUGAUAGUAAUUUCUAAAUAUUUAGAAUCACCUUUGUUAGACAUUAGUGAUCUUUGAAAACUUCUUUCGAUUCUUUUAUUUGGUGUUUAGAGCAUAAAUUAUGUAAAUCUUAUAAGAAAAAGGAUUGAAGAAGGAUUUUGGUAGAAAAGGGAGUAAUUAGGGCACCAUUAGAGAUGAAUGGAGAUGAAUAAUGAAAAUCUCCAUUCCUAUUGGUCAAAAAUCAUGACCAAUGGGCUUUGAGGAGGCUGCCCGAGGCCAUAUUAGGAAUUAGGGUUAGAUUCUCGACGCCAUUUGAACUUUGAAGGCUAGGAUCAGCAAUUUUAGGUUUUUGGCUAUGGUUUUGAUGCAAGUUUUGUAUGGUUUGGAGUUUAUAUGAAGGAGAUAUAGGCGCUCAAAGUUAAGGUGUUGAUUUGGAAGCUACUGUCACUAUUUUUGACAUAACGCACUCAUACAUAUAGCAAUUGAGGAUCGAAGACUACAAUUGAAGAGAAAACUUUUGUGGCUACAAUUUUUGCAUAUUGCUUGCUAGAUUCCAAGUUGAAGUAAAGGAGUUAUUGGAUUUUGAAGUCAGCACAUGCAAUCUAAGGGUAGUAUGUAAUCCGAUUUACUAGUGGUUGUAUCUUGAGCCAUAUCUUGAGUAAUUUGACAAGGUUUUGGCUCAAAAUUUCAGUAAAUGUGUAAAAUCAUGUUAUUAAACUUUAUAUAUAAGUUUUAUGACAUUUGAAUAUUAGAUUCUUGAGAUAUUAAGAAAAUAGUAAUCGUAUGCUUGUAAAUUAGGAUUUAGAGCUUCUCCUAGGGUUUCUUAGAUGCCAAAAGAUUGGGUGUGAAUUUGCGGUUGUUUUUUUUUGAUGAAAUUUAAGAAUAAAUUCUACCUAUCCUAUAAAUUUGAGACAAGUUGAAUGGUUAGAUCAAGAGAUAUGAAUUUCUAAAGUUCAGGACAAGAAAACCCUAUGCGGGAAAAAUAUGUUUUGAAGGGAUUUUGUUAUAUUUUUAGUUUUAUGCAAAAUAAAAGAGUUUUGGAAGCUAAGACAAGAUUAAUAUAAAGGUUUAAGCUACACUCUCUACAGCUAGAUACCUAAUGUAUUCCCAGAUAGCAAAUUAUGCCAUACGACACCAUGUUGUUACAAAUGGGAAUAGAUGACAAACUCCAUCGAAUAGCUUUCUAUUCGAGGAAAUUUUUAGUAGCCAAGAUUAAUUAUGAGAUCCAUGACAAAGAGUUCCUUACAAUCAUGGAUUUAUUUCAAGAAUAGCAUCAUUAUCUAGAAGGCACCUCAAGUCCAGUUAUUGUAUAUACAGACCAUAAGAGCCUCGAGUACUUCAUGUUAGCACAUGUCUUGAAUCACCGUCAAGCUUGUUGGAGCAUGUCUUUAUUUAGAUUCAAUUUCAAGAUCACUUAUCGAUCCAAAAAACAACAAGGUCUAUCGGAUGCUCUUUCUAGAUGUUCUUAUCUUGCACCAAAAAAAGGAGAUGCAUCUUUUGAUGCACAAAGAUCAAUUCUCUUGAAGCCCAAGCAUUUUCAUCUUCGAGCUAUAAAAUCAACAUUGACUAUUGAUUCAAUAUUUGUGAAGUAAAUUCAAUCAAGCAUGUCCUUUGAUCCUCUUGUUUGGGAUAUCAAGGAUACUUCCUCUAAGUCCUAUAAUACUUCCAAGUUUGAAUUCAAGAAUAAUCUAUUAUAUUUUGAAGGACGCCUAUAUGAUCCAAAAGAUGAAGUACGAUUAUGUGUUCUUCAAGUUCGUCAUGACUUUCGAGCAGCAGGAUACUUUGGGUACAAAAAAACUUUAGAACUAAUAUCCAGGGAUUUUUGGUGGCCGCAAAUGUGGAAGGAAAUCAAAAAUUUUGUAAAAUCUUGUGAUGUUUGCUCAAGAUUAAAAACUCCUUGUCAUUGACCUUAUCGACUUCUUCAGCCGUUACUUAUUCCAAAACAACCAUGGUCUUCUGUUUUUAUGGAUUUCAUCACGGAUCUUCGAAUCUCAGGUUCUUAUGACUCUAUAUUUGUGAUAGCAGAUCAUUUUAUCAAGAUGGCAUAUUUCGUACUAAGUACAAAAUCUAUCACAAGUGAAGAAACAGCUAAGCUUUUCAUUGACAAUAUCUAUUGCUAUCAUGGAUUAUCAAAGGAUAUUAUAUCAGAUAGGAGGGACUCAAUUUGUAUCAAGAUUUUAGAGAAUCCUAUUUGAGAUUCUAAAGGUGGAAAUAAAGCUUUCUUCAACUUUUCAUCCUUAAACUGAUGGACAAACAAAAUGGAUAAAUCAAGUUUUGGAGCAGUAUUUGAGAUGUACCAUCAACUAUCAUCAAGAUGUUUGGAUAAUUUUUUUACCAUUGGCAGAGUUUGCAUAUAAUAAUUCGAUACAUUCUUCCACUCAACAAAUACCUUUCUUUGCCAAUUAUGGUCAUCAUCCACGUCUUGAUACUUUUGACUUUUCAAAAGUUGAUAAUCUUGCGGCAGAAGAUUUAGCAAAUUACUUGUUAGAGCUACAUACAACAAUGAAGAUAUAAUUGAAGGAAGCUCAAGAACGACAAAAGACGAAUACAGAUGCCUAUCGCAAGGAGCAACUACAAUAUAAUAUGGAUAACAAGAUAUGGUUACUUCGUCGUAAUAUCAAGACUACUCAUCUUUAUGAUAAAUUAGAUUAUCGUAGGCUCGGACCUUUUCUUAUUUUUAAACAAAUCAAUUCUAUUGCCUAUCGAUUACAUCUACCGAAGUCUAUGAAGAUCCAUCCUAUAUUUCACGUAUCUCUUCUGGGGUCGUAUAAGACAAUGAAUAUCUUGGGAAGAAGACAAAUGCCACCUCCUCCUAUAGAAGUGGAUAAUAACUAAGAGUUUGAGGUGGAAGAAGUAUUAGACUCAAGAUGGCACCAAAAUAGAUUGAAAUAUGUUGUUCAUUGGCGUGGAUACGAUAUUAGUGAAUGCACAUGGGAGCCAUCAAUGAAUCUUAUAAAUAUAGUAAAGAAAGUUGAAGUCUUUCAUCAAUAACAUCCAUCAAAACCAAGAUAAAGAAUAGCAAACCUUUGCUAUAAAAGAAAUAAGAUCAAAGGAAAAUAACAUUCUACCUUCUAUCUUUCAUUGUAGCUUUUGUGUAUUUGUGAUGAGAUGGAGCACCAACAACGAGCAGAUUCAACUCAAGAGCUUUCAUUUGCAGACUUACCAAACGAGACAUCACGAUUGUCACAACCUUCAAGACGACAAAAUUGAGAUGAAGAUCCUCAAGAACAACAUGUCCUUCCUCGAAUAGAUGGCGAGAUAUAAUGUAUUUGGUAUCAUGACCUUGGAAGAGAAUCUUGAUAUUUAGUGAUGUUAUUAGACAUAGGAACUAUUCGUGACGGUGUUCCAAAUGUUUUAUUUGAAGGAAGUUAUGAAGGCCUUAUCAAUGACCAAAUAACAUGGCGGUCUUCUUGCCCUAAUAUGGGACACUAUAGAUGGUUGAGAGGAACUGUCAACCAUCUUCGAAGAGAGCAAAGAUUGGAGUAUGUAGUAAAUAUAAUUUGUCACAUCUUGGACUUCCUCAACAUAUGAAGACUGUUCCUCAUGGAACUUGUCCUUAGAAGGGAGGAUAAUAUCACAGACAUAUAUAUUUACCUCAAUAGUUACUUAUAUGAUUAAGUAGAAAUAGGUAAAAUAGAAUAAUUUCAUAAAAUCUUCUAGAGAAGCUUUCUAGAAGCUUCAUAGACGUGGUUUUGACUUUAGAUGUGUUCGUAGGUUAGAAACUUGGUCAAAAAGCUAACUUUGUAUUGGUAGCUUGUGGAACAAGUUACCUCCAUGUAGUAGCUUAUGGAAUAAGUCAACUACAUGGUGCAUACAUAGAUAACUUGCCUUACAAUAUAAGACAUGUAGCUAGUAAAGUCAAUACAUAUUGAAGGUCCUAUAGAACAUCACCACGUGGCUCUUAGUUAGAUAGUAUAUAUGGAGGCAAGCGUGAAGCCUUCUUCACUCUUGUCAACACUGUCGAGGUAGAGAGAGUUUGCCUCAAAAAAGCACUGGACUUCUGGCUGCCACUAAAUACUCAAUCAAGUCUAAGAUAUAAAAAAUCAAGUUUAUACAUAUAAUAUUUUCCCUUUUUGGAAAAUUACAUCAAAACACAAGCCCAAGUACCAAGAAAACAUCCAAAUGUAUGAUAAAGAUCUUAAAACCUUAUAUAUCUUUAUGAGAGAUGUUUUCCGAACUUCAACAGCUCAUAUCUCAUGAUCGGAUUGUUUAAAAAAUCCUAAAUUUUACAUGAAGUAUUGAUAUACUUUCAAAAACUUUUCCAAAAAAAUUCAACUAUAAAUUCAUUACGGAUCUUGAGAUAUCACCAAAACCCUAAUAGUAGCUUUAAACCCUAGCUUACAUACACCCGUGUGCUAAUUUCUUUAUAUCUCACAAAAUAAGUACUCAAAUACCAUGAAACUGUGAUCUAUAGCUUUUUAACUUAAUAACUCACACUUAUGGAAAUUUUGAGCCAAAAAUUCGCCCAAAAUGACUCACUUACUACUUUUGAAUUAUAUGUGCUAUCUUCAAAUGUCUAUAACUCCUUCAUUCAGACUUGAAAUUCAUCAAACAGUAUAUGUAAAGUAUGGCUAAGAAAUUUUCCUCUCCAAUUCUAGUCGCCGAUCUUUCAUUGCUUUCCGUACGCAUAUGUUAUGCUUCAAAGAGUGACAGUAGGUACAAAUUUGACACCUUAACUUUGAACACCUAUAUCUCCUUCACAAAAACUCGAAAUCACACAAACUCUUCAUCCAAAUUAUACCCAAAACCGUGAACUUUCUAAUACUAGCUUCUAAAGUUCAAAUGACUUUGAAAGAAAAACCCUAAUCCCUAAUAAGGCCUCGGGCAGCCUCCUUGAAGCCCAUUGGACAUGGCCUUCGACCAAUAGGAAUGAAGUUUCCCAUUCUUUGCCUUCAUCCAACCAUUUCUUGCUUUCAUCCAACAAUUUCUUGCUUUCAUCCCUUCCAAUAAGCCUCUUAUUAGUUAAGAUUUUUUUUCUUUAGGCUCUAUCUCAUCUCAAGGCUUUAUACUAAAUAUUUAGGUCUUACAAUUAUUUUAAAUGCUAUAAUAAAAAAAAUAAAACUCAAAAUAAAGUUUCUUAAAUCCACUCUCUUUAAAUUAAUCUAUUAACCAUUCUAACAUACAUCUAGUUUUAUUAACAUAUAAUAUAUUUUAACUAAUUUUUACAUAUUGUAAGCUUUUACAGUACGACAUCCACCUCUUUCAAACCUGCACAUCCUCCGGUAUGUGCCAAUCCUUCCAUUUCUAUUCUCUUCAUCUUCAUCUCUUUAAACAUCUUCUUCUUUAUGUUCUUCAACCAAAUAUUGAGGUAAGAAUUUUUGAAGGUCUUCUAUUUAAAACCACCCAUCUCUUUUCUUGAAAGUCUUCAUUCUCUUCCCUUCUAUUGGAAUCCUUAUGAUAGUUCCAUCUAACUCACAUAAUAUAUAUAUUUUAUUGUGUUGUAUUAUUACAACUAUAUAUGACUCAAAAUAUUUUUUAAAAAAAAUUCUUCUAUCUAUUAUAUUAGUAGACUAAAGUACCAUUAAAAACUUCUAUUUCCAUAUCUUCCAUAUUAUUUGAAACACUAAAUAUCCAUUUUUGGCUGAUAUCAAUAGACCAUUUUUUCCUAUCAAAAAGUCUCCUAAACAUGAUUUUUUUCUCAGAAUCAUGAACAAUCAAAGCUAAAACCAUAACUUCAAGCUCUUCAAGCUUUACUUUUGUCUAAAAUAAAUGAGAAUAAUCCACCUUUUCUUCUUUAUUACACUCAAAGUUGUAGUUAAGAGUAUAAAUAAGUACUUUUGUAUCCUUCUGAACUAUCUUUUCAUUUGAUAUUUCUUCAACCAUACAUUCUUGAAUUUGGAUGAUUUGGACUUCUUUUCUUAAGCCUUGCACUCCUCCAUAUUCAAAUUCACCUUGAUUUUGGAUACAUGUUGUAUCCAUAAUAAUCCUCUUAUUACUCAUAUUUGUUCCAACAAACAUUUGUAAAACCUCAUCUUUCAUUUCUUCAUUCAAAAAUUCUUCUAUUUCUGCAACCUCUUCUUCUUGAACCUCAUUAGAGCCAAUUUCUUGUUCUUUUUUGUAGCCACCAUUAAUCGUAGGGUUACAUUUAAGAGCAAAUAUUUAGCCAAUUUCUUCUUUUUUUUCUUCCUCUUCUUUCAUUGUGUGAGUAUCCAAUGCCUCCACCAUAAUAGCUUCAACUUUGGAUUUCCAUGUGUCAUCCUUCUUCUUCUCUUUGUCUUUCUCCCACCAUUCUUUUGGUAUUGAUAUAUCUUCAGGAUGAGCAGAAGUAGGCACCUUCACUAGCUUUUGCUCUUCAUAAGUUUUUUUUAUUACUUGGAGACCUCUUCUUGCUUCCAAGUUGAACAUCCUCCUCAUAAAUAACUCUAUCUCUUUUUUCUUCAACCAUGGCAUCAUGUAGAUCAUCAUCAUAUUUUUUUCCACAUAAACAUACUUUAAUAUUAAUGGCAUCAAUUGGAUCAUUCCACCCAGUCAUUUUUCUGAUAGCUUUAGCUCCUUUGAUCAUGACUUCUGUAGUUGAUAAGAAAUAAGCCUUAAUUGCUUUUUGUUCAACUAUAAUAGAAUAAGACUGAGCCCCUUCUCCUUCUUUGGCAUUAUUCUUUGAUAUUUGCUCUUCCACCAAUUUUUUCAUGCCACCCUUUCCAAAAUUAGUCUUUAAAGGCUCAUCUAAUCUUGUGAAUCUUAUCAUGUCUUCUUUGAAAUACACAAUACCAUCCUUGAUUGCAGCCUUAUAGUUAUCACACUCACCACGCUUAUGAUUUGGAUUAUCACACCACAUACAUCUCUCUACAAAUUCCUUUGAGCCUUCAAUAUUCUUUGAUGAGUUUGCUAUCAGGGAUUUCUUCAAUUCAGUCAUUUUCACCUUCAAAUCCCAUAUGCCCUUAAUUAAUUCUUCAAGAGUAUCAUCUUUCACAAUCUUGAUCAUCUUUUGAGAUAGCACUUGAUUUUGAGAUGUAGAUAUUGGCUCCAACCUUGAUAUUAAAUUACAAGUUUUAAUCUUCUGUUGUUUAGCCAAAAGUCCCAUUGUCUCUUUUACUAGCUUCAAAUUAUUUGUAAAACCACUCUCAGAUGUCUUGUCUGCUAGAUAAAAGAGAAGCUUGUCUUCUAAAUAUUCAUUAGCUACUUGCAAGAAUAACUCAGUUUUUUUCAUUUCUAAUAGUUGCCUCUCUCGCAAUGGUAAUUGCCUAAACUUAUUUUCAAAUUUCCUAAUUAAUUCAUUUGGAGCCAUUUGAUUCCUUGGCCUAUGCUCAAUCCACUCCAAAAAAGUCACCUUGGUCAUUCUUUCUAAAUCUUCUUCAAAAAAUUCGUCUUUCAAGAGUUCUUCAAAUUUCUUCCAUGAUAUAGCCUCUGCAUGUAAUUCUUGCAUCCUUUCUCUAAUUUCUGAUAUCACUACCAAAUUAAAGGUAAUGAUCAUCUUCAUUUCUGAAACUCAAUGCACUUCCAUUUCACAUGUAUAAAUCCUUAAAAAUUUGGUGAUAUUCCUCCCAUCAAACCUCCCAAUUUUAUCCACAACUACUUGUAAAGCAUUGGUAGUAUUCCUAUCCUCUCCAUGUACAUGUUACCUUUCUUCUAUAAAUUGAGCAAAUGUCCUAAAUAAAUCAUGGGCACCCAUUCUUCCUGAUAAUCCAAACCCAAGAUUUUGAUCUCCCAUCUUAACUUGUUGAGAUAAUUAGUGCCUUAAGGCUCUCUCAUUGGAAGCACCAAUAUGUCGGGGUAGAAAGAGUUUGUCUCAAGAAAACGCUGGGCUUCUGGCUGUCACUAAUUAUUCAAUCAAGCUUGAAAAUAAGAGAAGCCCUAAGUUUAUAUAUAAAUUUUAUCUUUUUGAGCAAUUACACCAAAUACACAAGGCUCAAGUAACCAACAACAUCCAAAAUAUGAUAAAAUCCUCUAAAACCUUGUAUAUUCUUAUGUGGAGAUUUUUCCGAACUUCAACACCUCAUAUCUCCUAAUCCGAUCGUCCAAACAAAUUCAAAUUUUACAUGAGGUAUUGAUGUAUUCUUAUUAACUUCUACAACAAUUUUCAACGACAAAUUCAUUGCGGAUCUUGAGAUAUCUUGAAAAUCCUAAUAGUCACUUCAAACCCUUGUCUUUAUAUACCCGCAUACAAUUUUCUUCAUAUCUCACAAAAUAUAAGCUCAAAUGCCACGAAAUUUGUAUGUAUAGCUUUUCAACACAAAAAUUUACAUUCUUCAAAAAGUUUGAGCCAUAAAUUCGUCCGAAUACUCAAGUUAUGGCUCCAACCAUUACUACAAACAGAACCGCUUACUUAUUGCCUUUGAUUUGGAAGUGCCGCCUUCAAUUCCUUAUAAAUCCUUCAUAUAAACUCUAAAAGCAAUAAUUCUUUUGUUAAAGAUGUAGGCCUUAAAAUCGCAGUUCUAGUCACACCUUACGAUCUUCAAAAGCUACUGUAAAACUCCUCGUAUCCUCAAAAGAAUAAUAGUAUGUCUUAAAUUAACACCUUAACUUCAAACGGCUAUAACUUCUUCACCCUAACUCCAAAUCCUCUAAUUUUUGCACAUAAAUUAUAUCCCAAAUCCUAAACUUUACAACUUUAGCUUGUAAUCUCCGAAUGCCUUCUUUGAAGUCACCGAAACCCUUGUUAAGAUCAUAGGCAGCCUCCUCAAAACCCAUUGGGCAUGGUAUUCCACCAAUAGGGAUGAAGUUUCCCAUUCCUUGCCUUCAUCCGACCAUGCCUUGCUUUCAUUCCUCCCAAUUAGCCUCCUACUAGUUUAGAUUUUCAUCCUUAGGCUUCCACCUUCUCCCAAGGCUUCAUACUAAACAUUUAGGUCCUAUAUAUAUAUAUAUAUAUAUAUAUUUAUAUAUAUAUUUUAAUGUCAAAAUCAAAACAAGUAAAGAAACAAAGUAAAGUUUCUUAUACCAACUCCUUUUAAUUUAAUCUACUAGCCACUCUAACACACAUCUAGAUUUAUUAACAUAUAAUAUGUUUUAAUUAAUUUUUACAUAUUGUAAGUAUUUACAGUAUGACAAUGUCUUUUUAGUCUUAGUCUUGUUUUAAGACUUUCUAGUCUUUUUAUUUUUGGCAGUAGCCAUUCUAGUUAAUAUUUCAUCACCUUUUGAGUGACUUUCUAGUUCUCUUUAGUGAUAGAAGAGUGUAUUGAGGAUUUCCUUUCUUCGAGAUUCAUGUCCUUGAUAAUAGUAUAUAUAGAGAUAAGAAUGAAGCCUUCUUCACUCUUGUCAAUUUCUUUCUUUCUUCUAAUCUAGUUUCAAGAGUUUUUAGAUUUCUAAUCUUUGGCAAUAGCCAUUAUAAUUUCUUCUUGAAUAUAUAUAAAUUUUUAUUAUCAUUUUAUCAUUCCUCAUUGAUAUUUAUUUCAUUUUUUAUGUUUCUUUUUUUGAAUUCUUAUUCUAGACAAUCUAUAACAUAUAUAUAUAUAUAUAUAUAUAUAUAUAUAUAUUUAUUGUAAUAAUUAUUUAAAUAGUAUGAAUUGGUAUAAGUACAUAAAAAUAAGUAAAAUUAAUAAUAUCUUAUAGAAAAAUUUCUUAGAAGCUUUAAAGUAGUAGCUUUGUUUUUAUACGUUUUUAUAGGUUAUUAAUAAGUUGAAAUCUUGGCCAAAAAAUUAACCAUGUGUUGUCUUUGCAAGGUCUUAAUCUUAUCAUCUUACCUACAUCCAAAGUGCUACAAUCCAUAUGGAACUUGAGCACCUUCUUUCUUAUAAGAGCUAGAUUAAUUCUUGGACUUUUUAUUUUUUAUUUAAUAAUUUAUUAUUAUUUUAUUUUUGACUAUAUUGUAUUAUUCAAAAAUAUCCAAUUGGCCUAAGAACAUUGAAUGAUCUUCAUAUCUCACUCUAUUUUUUCAUAAUGAACUUCCAAGGUGGUAAAACUUAUAUUUAUCAAAGUCUUAAAAAUUAUUCUAAAAAUUCUUAAUUUUUAUUGAAUAAAAUCUAAAUAAACUAUUAAAAUUAUUAUUUUCCUAAAAAAUACUAAUAUCUAUUUAAAGCUAUAUUUUUACAAAUGUAUAAUAUUUUAUAGUAAUAAAAUUAAUUUAAAUCAAUUAAAAAUUUUAAUUUUUAUAUACAAUAAUUUAAAAAAUUAUUUUUAAUGUUUUUAUAUUUUAAAAAGAAAGGUAUAUUACACAUGAAUUAUAGUAAAUAAUGACACAUGGUUUAUAUAGAAAAUAAAGUAAUCUUUUAUAGCUACCAAAUAAGCAGAGGUUGAAAAAAAUCCAUUAAGCAAUAACCAAUCUAAUUUGAAAUAGUAUGAAAAUAUUUUUUUGAGUGCAGUAUCCAAUUACAUAUCAAUACUUUGUAGGACCUCUUUUGGCCUUAAUAACUACUUCUAACGUCCUAGGUAUACUUUCUAUUAACUUUUGGUACAAAAUUGCUUCAAUAUUAUUCCAUUUUAUAACUAUUUUUUUCCUAUAAUUUCCAAACUUCCUUUGGUUUUAUCUUCUAGGUGUUGAGUUGAUGUUUGAAGAGCUUCCAAAGAUGUUCAAUGGAAUUAAGAUUACAAGAUUAAGCAGGCCAUUCUAUUACUUUAAUUCCAUGAUGAUUAAAUCACUUCCAUGUUGAGUUAUGCUUGGAGUUGUUAUCUUGGUGAAAAAUCACUUCCUCCUCAAAAAUAUAAGAUUCUUUAAUACAAAGAAGCAAGUUUUUUUCAAGUAUUUCUACAAAUUUCUUGGCAUCCAUCUUCAUCUCAAUCUCUGCCAUCCUCUCAACUCUAUUCUAUUCCAUACAACUCCAUAUCAUUAUAUUUCCACCUCCAUAUUUAACUAUUUUUUAGAUCUUUUUAUUAAGCAAGGAUUGAUCUUUUUGUUUUCACACCUAGUUUCUCCCAUCUGAUCCAAAUCUAUUGAUUUUUGUCUCAUAUAAUCAAACAAUCCUCUUCCAAUCCUCCAUGAUCCAUUCUUUAUACUUCAAAGUAAAAUCCAAGCAUUAUUUUUAAUGAUGGAUAGAUAAUAGUCAUUUUUUUUUUUUUUUCUUUGCUAUGACUUUUAUUUUCCAUUUUUUGAGUAUAUUUUAAAUAAUUUGGAUUCAUACAAGAUUAUUGAUAAUAUUGUUAAAAGUUUUAGCAACCUCAAUAGCAUUUUCAGCCUUCCCAAUGUUGAUUUGGUAAAUAACUGUCCUUUCAACUACCACAAUGAGCUUCUUUGGUCUACCUAAUUUAAGGUUCUUCUUAUUAAAAGUUAUCUUUUUUCCUAGCCUAGAGAUAAUAACUUUAUUGCAGCUAAGUUUAGAAGUAAUUUGGACAUAAGAUUUUUGAGAAUGAAGUAAAAUAGAGGUGAUGUUGUCUUGAAGAGAGCAGGAAAUGGAUCUCAUAGUUGUUCAAGGAAUUGUCAAGAAUACAAGAAUUUGACAAAGAAACAUGUCAAGAUUAAAGACAAAGAAUGAAAUUGAUAGCAAAAGUGGUUCUAAAGGCUCAUAUUUAUAUUAUAAUGAAGGUUAUAAAAAUCUAUAGUACUUUCUAUAGAAGUUUUUAGAAGUCUGAAGAAGCUUCUAGAAGCCUAUGGAACUUUCUAAAAGAUUGUAGAAGAUUCUACAAGUAUCUAAAGAGUUCUAGAAAUUUGCAAAAGAUUCUAGAAGGUCCUAGAAUAUGGUAAUUUGGAAUAUGUCUAUGCUAGGAAUUGUAAUUAAGAAUGAUGCUUUUAUAGCUACUAUUAAGUAUUAAUGAUGUCAUUAGAUUAGUAAUAAUAUUUUCAUAGUAAAUUUAAUGAUAAUAGAAUGCUGUAAUAUUGAGUAAUUGAUAGAAUCCAAUAAUUAGACACCACAUUCAAAAAAAUAUUUCAAUACUACUCCAAAUUAAAUUGGUUAUAGAUUUGCAAUUACUUAAUGGAUUCUUUUCAUUUGGACUCAUUUAGUAGCUGUAAAGGAGUACUUUAUUUUCUAUAUAAAACACAUAUUAUUAUUUACUACAAUUCAUCUGUAAUACACCAUUCUUUUCAAAAUAUGUCAAUAUUGAAACAAUUUUUGGAGUCAUUGUAAAUAACAAAAAAGACAUGAGCUUCUUUCUCAUACUACUUAUGACUAUUAACUAACAUUUAUAGGUUUUUUGUAUAAAUAACUCAUAUAAAUAGAAUACCAAUGUAAACAUUGACUACAAUAAUGAAUCAUUAAUACUAAAUAAUAAUAAAAAAUAUUUAACAAAGUUGAAUAAUUAUUUCUAAGAUUCUAUUUUAAUGAUUUUUAAAAAAAUAAGUCUCUUAUAUCUUAUAAAGAAUUUUAAAUUCUUAUAAAUACUUUAAUAAUAAUAAAAUAUCUAUUUUUAAUAUUUUAAAAAUUAAACAAUUUAAAAAUAUAUUAUAAUAGUUCCACCAAUUAAAAUCCAUUGAUGAAAUUAAAACUUUUUAUAUAUAUUAGUAAGGCUAUAGAAUGUUUACAUACAAUAUUAAAGAAUUUAUUUUAUAAAAAACUAAUAAAUAUCACAUGUUAAAAAAUAUAAUUUUAUUGAUAAGAUAUAGAUGAAUUUUUUAUAUUUUAUUUAUUAAUUUUUAAAAUUUUAGAUUUUUAUGAAAUAAUUAUAAUUUUAUAUAUUUAUUUUUAAUCUUUAAAUUUAAAUUUUAAUCUUUAAAUUUAAAUUUUAAUCUAUAAUUAUUAUAUUUUUUUAAAAAUAAAUAAGUAUUCUGUUUAUAAAAUAUAAAUUUAAUAUUAUAAAUUAAUUUUAAAACGGCUAAUAAAUAUGUAUAUUUAAAAAAAUUAUUUGAAAGUAUUUUAUUUAGACUCUAUAUUAAAUUUUAUAUAUUAAUUUAAUUCAUUUUUUUACAAAUCCUUAUAAAAACUAAGAUAGUCUAUUUUUUGUUUGUUUGUUUGUUUGUUUAUUUGUUUAUUUGUUUUGUUUUUUUUUGUUUUGUUUUUUUUUUUUUUUUUUCUAAUUUCAUCAAUUUUUUUUUAAUCUUUAGUAGUCAUAUUGACUUUUAUCAAUUUUAAUUUUUGAAAAUAAUGUUUAUAUAUUAUUAAUAUUAUUUAUAUAUAAGUAUAUUAUUAUUAUUAUUAUUUUUUUAAAAGUAAAAUAAAAUAAUACUUGAUAAAAAUAAAGUAUAUUUAAAAAACUUGCUUACAUAUAAGGGAAUAGCUACCAUUAUCACUAAUAGUAGCAUCAACUAUCAGCUAAAUUCUACUAGCUUCAAAAUAAGUUCUAACUUGGCUUGUUUAUUAGCUCCAGCAAAAUGGAGCGUUUUUUUGGUUGGCUUUGGAAAAAAUUACUAUAUCAUGCUAGGAUCAGGUAUCAUAGACAUACAUAUUUACUCUCAUAGUUAUCUAGGUAAUAUGAAUUAGUAGAAAUAGGUAAAAAUAGAUUAAUUUGAUAAUAUCUUAUAAAGAAGAUUUUUAGAAGCUUCAUAGAUGUGGUUUCACCUUUAUAUCUAUCUACAAGUAAUUGAUGGAUUAGAAAAUUCACCAACAAGUUAGCCACAUGUCACAUGUAUUGAUAGCUUAUAAUAUAAGCUAAUAAUGUAGCACAUAUAUAGAAAACUUGCCUUGCAAGUUACAACAUGUGUCUCAUAAAUUAGACACAUGUUGAAGGUCCUAUAGAAUGUUGUUACAUAACUCUUAGUUAGAUAGUAUAUAUGAAGAUAAGAAUAAAGCCUUCUUCAUUCUUGUCAAUUCUUUUCUUAUUUCUAGUCUAGUUUCAUAGGUUGCUAAUUUUCUUAUCUUUUGGCAAUAGCCAUUCUAGUCUCUUUUGAAUGUAUAUAUUUACUUUUUUUCAUUUUUUCAUCUUUCUUUGAAAAAAGUCUCAUUUUUUUAUUUGUCUUUAUCAAGUUAUAAUGCUUUGCACCAAUACUUGAAAUAGGGCCUUGAGAGAACCAAUUUAGUAUAGACAAGUAGCACAAGGUUUGGCUUCUACCAACUAUAUGGUGAGGUAGUUGAUAGAAGCCAUUUUUCUUUCAUUUUAUCAUGUAAAGAUGGUUUUUUAGAAAAAAAGAGAGAUUAGAAGUGAAGUUCCUAGAGAGCCAAUAUGGAGUGGUGUUGUGUGAUCACACAACUAUAUGGUGAAAAAUAAAAAUAUGGAUGUUAUUAUAAAAGAGCCUAAUAAUAAGAUGUAGUAGAAAAACAAAGAUAAAUGAUGAAAAGGUAGUAAAAAUUUGUCUUAAUGUUGCUUUUUGUAGAAGGAAUAUCUAUUUACUUUGUAAGAAUAUAAAUGCCUCAAAUAAAAAUAAACAGGAUAAGUAAAUAAUAUAAAAAACUUUAAAAAAUAAUUAAAAAUAUAUUUUAGUAAAACAUACUUCAAAAUACCAAAAAUUGAUAUUAGGAGAGGAUUGAUUGUGAAUUUGGGUCAAAAUCAGAUCCCAAUAUACAAAACAAGGCACCUAUGGCAACUCAGGGGUUCUUUAGUCAAUUAAAGAAUGAGAUUUGAGAGCAAACUUCAAAAGAAAUUUUUAAGAGUUGAUUUCAUGUCAUUUAGAUGGAUAUUAAGGUUUUGAAGACUUUUCAAAGUUAGAGGUGUAUUCGGGGGGUUUAGAUUUUGAGAAAUAAAAAUAACUUUACAAAUUUUAAGUUUUUGUGAGUUUUGUGGCUUAUUUAAAGGUGAAAAUUUAUUUAGUUGUCAUUGUGCUAGUUGAAAAUAUAUGUAAGAAAUUUUAUAUCAAUCAAGUAGUUAAAUUGAAGGUUAUUAAAUUUUUUGUGGAUUAUGAUCUUAGAUAUUUAAAAUUUAGGAUCAAUAAGGAUUUCUACAAUCUAGAAAAAUAUGCCAAUUCAAUUUUACCAAAAUUUGGUGAGAGAAAUUUAAAUUCAAAUACCUACAUACAAACCAAUUUUUGGAGAAAUUGAAUGGUUUAGCAAGGAGAAAUCUUUGUUGAAAGAUCAACAUUCAAAUUAGAAAAGAAGAGUGGUCAACAUCCAAGAGGUUUUAAGAGCUUUUUUUACAAUUGGUGUAUUUGAUUCUUUUCAAAUUUUGCAUGUUUGUUAAUUGCUUGUUGAUAGAAGUCUUGGUGAAAUUUUAGUCAAGAUCAACAAUUCAAUUAAUAUUUAUUGAGGUUUCAAACAACUAUAGUAAUUGAUUAAGAUUUUAUUUAAUAUUGUUUUGAAAUUGUUUAAGGUUUGAUCAGGUUUUGGUUAGGAUUUAAGAUUUGAUUAAGAUUGGUUUAGAAUUUGGUUAGGAUUUAGUUAGGUUUUAAUUAGGAUUAAUUUAGAAUUUAGGAUUUGAUUAGGAUUUAAGAUAUAAUUAGUGUUGAUUUGAAAUUUGAUUAAGAUAUGGUUAGGAUUUAAUUAGGAUUAGUUUAGAAUUUAUAAUUUAGAAUUUGGUUAGGAUUUAGGAUUUCAUUAGGAUUUUAUUAGGAUUUGAUUUAGAAUUUUUUAAAGUUUUAUUAAGAUUUAAAUUAGGUUUUCAUUAGGAUUUUUUUAGGAUUUGAUUUAGAUUUUUUUAAAGUUUUAUUAAGAUUUAAAUUAGGAUUUAAUUAGAAUUUGAUUUGAAUUUAUUUAGAAUUUAUUUAGAAUUUAUUAAAGAUAUUUAUUUUUAUUAUUUUAAAAAUAUUCUUUAUUAUUUCCUUAAAAUUUUCUAUUUUUUAUAUUUUUUAAAGACUAUUAUUAUUUCUUUAAGUUUUUAUUUAUUUAUUUAUUUUUAUUUUUUAUAAUUUUAUUAUUAUUUGAAAUUAAUUUUUAGAUUCUUUGUGUUUCUUUUGUAUGUUUUUUAAAUUUUCUUUCAUACUGGUUAAAUUUUGAUAAGAAUUAUUAAAGAUUACUUAAAAUUUAUUUAAGACUCUAUUAGAUUAGGUUGGAUUUUGUUAUUGUAUUUCUACUUACCUUCUAUAGCUAGGUGUUUAGUGCAUUUUCAAGCAAAAAUUCACAUAAUACAACAACAAGCACAUGUGCCAUACAUCCACAGCAUCCACUUUUUGGCCAUCCGUAUUAGGUCCAAUAAGUGGCAAUGCCCUUAAUAUAUGAUCUUAAUUUUAUUUAAAUAAGUAUUUGUAUCAUUUGAUAGAAUAAAUUUAAUUUUAAAAUAUAAUAUCAAUUUAUUUUUAUCAUCUACUUCUAAUAUAUUUUAUAAAUCAGAUUAGUAUAAUUAAAAAUAUAUAUAUUUUUAAACCUAAUUUUGGUAUAAUUUUUUAUAUUUUAUUUUUAAAUAUUUUAAAGUUUUAUCUAAAAAAAUAGAUAUGAAGUGAAAUUUUAAUUUUGAAUUAUGAACUGAUUUUAAGAAUACAUAAUUAAAAAUAUGUUAAAAAAUAUUUUAAAAUCGUUAAAGUAAAAAUUUAAAUAAAAUGAAAAAAGAUUAAGCAUAUUUAUGUGACAACAUGUGCGUUUAAAAAUUAUUUAUAAAUUUAGAUUGGCCAACUUUGCUUGAAAAUAUUCUACCUUCAGUAAUUAAAAAAAAUAUUUAAAAAAUAUAUGUAUAUUUGCAUUAUAACAAUAUAUAUAAUAAAAUAUCCAUAUCUUUUGAUAUGAUUAUUAAAAUCUAUACCACCAAAUAAUAAAAUGUCAUUAAAACUUGGCCAAAAUUUCUACUACAAUGCAUUCAUAUCAAUCCAUUGUAUAUUGACAUAUGUUUAAUAUUUAUUGUAUGGUAAAAAUCUGUAUAUAAUUAGUUUUCAACAACUUAUUAAAUUAAAUUUUAUUGGAAUAAUUUAAUAGCACAUGUGACGUUUUCAAACUUAUUGUAUAGCACUUAUAGAAAUUUGAGUAAGAAAAUGUCUAUUCCAUAUUUUUAUCAUUUAGGUGUAGCAUAAAAAAAAUUAUUCUAACUAUUUUUUCUUUUUUAAAUUUAAAAUAUUAUUGUGUAGUAAAUAAUUUUAUAAUUUAAAUAAUUCAAAAAAAGACAUAUAUUUUAAAAUUUUAAUUAGAAUUUUAUAUAUAUAUAUAUAUAUAUAUAUAUAUAUAUAUAUAUAUAUAUAUUUGUGUGUGUGUGUAUGUAUGUAUGUAUGUAGAUUUUUAGAUAAUUAAAAUUGAUUAAUUUUUUUAUUUUUAUUUAAUUUUUUUCAAAAAAAUAGAUUUUAAAGAAAUAUUAAUAAAGUAUUUUUUAAUUUUUUUUAUAAAUUACUUCUAAAGAAUAUGUUAAAUAAAUCAAUAAGAAUAUUUUUGAAAUUCUAUCUAAAACAUCAAUUUGAAUAAUUUAAAGUAUUUUAAAAAGAUAUCAAUUAAAAAAAUAAAAAAAUGAAGAUAUUAUCAUAUAAGUUGUAACUUAAAUAUAGAUACAUAUAUCCAAAUGAAUAAAAUUAUGAUUAAAUAGCAAUAGCUUUAACAUGGGGCAAAAGAAAGUAGUGUGAAGGAUUCUUUGAUAUAUAUUUUUUAAAUUAAUUUUUUUUGAAUAAAAUAGGGUCGAAAUAUAAUAACAAUAAAUAAGAAUUUAAAAAAUAAGAAAGAAAUAACUAAAAUAAAAAAAUUAAUUAUUUGAUAAUUUACAAAAAGGUUUAAGUUUUAGUAAGCAUUUUAGGUAUAUACAUAUUAUAAUAUAUAUUUAAAAUUUCUAUAUAAGAAUAAAAUGAAAUAAAAUAAAAGAUAAAUAUAUCAAAAAUAUAAAAUAUAAAAACUAUUAAAAAAAUAAAAAAAAUUAAUAAAUAUGUAAGAAAAGAAAUAAUUAUAAAUAGAAAGUUUGAUCCAAUUCAAUAUCAAGGAUGAAAUAAAAGGUUUGAUAUAAUUCAAUAUUGAAGAAGAGAUAGAAGAAAUUAUUAAAAAAAUACAUUUAAAGAUAAUUUGAAUAUGUCAGAUUUAUUAACUAAUAAAUUAAAGAAAUAAAAAAUUUAGAGGUGUUUUAAAAAAAAUAAUUAGAUUAGAUAAGAAUAAUAAUCAAAACGUAAUAGGGUAUGAAUAAGAUAUUUAUAUUAUUAGCACCUAGAGAUAUGUAAUUGGAGUCAUUUUUGGAAAGUUUUUAGAAUUGAGGUUAGGAUGGUGGUUUAUGUAGAAUCCACCAUAGAACCUUUUAGAAAGAUAUAGGGCAGUUAAUAUGGUAGAUCCUACUUUUAGAAUCUUCUAAAUAGGUAGUUAUCUUGGUGAGGCCUACCAUUAGAGAUAUUCUAGAAAGUUCCAGGGAUAGUUGAACAAAGUAUAAAUAGGACUAAUUGAGGCCAUUUAGACAUUUGGUUAGGUAUGAUUUUAGACUCUUUCUCUAAGUAAAUUUUGGUUGCUAUUCCUUGUUUUAUUCUGUUUGGUUUUGUUUGGUUUAAUUUUCUUUUACUCAAUCUUGUCUUUCAUGUUCUAUUCAGUUUAGUUACUUUCAGUUUUGUUUUAGUCUGUUUGGUCUUACGUUGUCUCAAAAUCUUUGUUGUUAUGAAAUUGAUAAGGUUUUAGACCUUAGAGAAUAUAGAUUUGUUUUACAAAAGGUUUAUAGAAGAAAAAUAAGAAAAAUAUAUAUCUAAUAUAUAUAUAUAUAUAUAUAUAUAUAUAAGAAGAAGAAGAGAUUAAGAUAAGAUAUAUAUAUAUAUAUAUAUAUAUAUAUAUAUUUUUAAAAUAAAAUUUGAAACAAGAUUAAUUAUAAUCUACUAAAAUAUUAUUAGAUCUUAAGCCAAGUUUGAUUUUAAUUGUAUUAAUAAAUCAUUAUAUACAUAAGAAAUAAAAGUAAAAUUUAUGUAUGAUAUAAAUAUAAAUAAAUUAAAAAUGAAAUGGAUGUAACUUAAAAACAAAUUAGAUUUGAAUUUGGUAUCAAUAUUUUAUCUCUUCUACCAGAAUUAAAUAUAUUUUUAUUAUUAAUUAUAAAAAUUUAGUUUAUAAUUUUAUUUCUUUACUAAAUGUAUCAAAUUAGUAAUUAGAUAUCUCAUGUUUAUUCAAAAAGACUCUUUUAAUAUAUAAAUUUUUAAUUUUUACUAAAAUAAUAUUUUUUAAAAUUUAUAUGCUAUAUAAUACUUUAUAAUUUUAUGAUUUAUAAAAUAUUUUUUUUAAUUUAUAUUUUUUAAAAUAUAAUUUAUAGGUUUAUUUUUAUAUUAAUUUAAAAUUUAAAAUUAUUUAUUUUUUAGUAAAAUAAGGAAAAAAUAAGAAUUUAAUAUUUUAAAAAAAUUCAAAUCAAAAUUUUAUAUCUUUAUUAAGAUAAUUUUUUUUGUAUCUUUUAUUUUUGAUUAAUAUUUUAUUUAAAAUUUUAAAAAUUAAGAAAAAUAUAAAUUUAUUUAUAUUUAAAGUUUAAAUUAUUUUUUAAAUAAUCCAUGUUAUAUUAAAAUAUUAAUACUUACUUUUGUUUUUUAAUUUUGUCUUAAAAUAUUAAAUUUAUUUUUUAAAAUUUACUUCUUUUGAAUAUAUAUAUAUAUAGACCAUUUUAUAGACCAUUUUAUAGACCAUUUAUUGAAUAUAUAUAGACCAUUUUAUAGACCAUUUAUUGAAUAUAUAUAUAUAUAUAUAUAUAUAUAUAUAUAUAUAUAUAUAUAUAGACCAUUUAAUAGAUCAUAUAUAUUAUUAUUUUUAUAUUUAUGGUUUAUACUUAUUUUAUUUUGAUUUAUAAUUUAUCUUUUUAAUUAUAUUUAUAUCUUAUUUUUUAAAUAUUUUUUUAAGAUUAUUAAUUAUUCUUAAUCCUAAUUAUAUAUAAAUUAAAAUUAAAGAUUUUUUCUUAGACCAAUAAUUUUUAUCAACCAAAUAAACUUAUAGAUUUUGUAGUAGCCUUUAUGGCAUAAUUGGAUUGAUAAGAUUGCUUUAGUUCCAUUGUGACAAAAAUAUUUAUUUAUUUCAAUAAUUACCUAUUUGAUUAGGUAGAAGUAAAUAAAUUUAGAUAAGUUUCAUAAUAUCUUCUAUAAAAGCUUUUUAAAAGCUUCAUAGAUGCAAUUUUGACUUUAUAUGUGUUUGUAAUUAAUUAAUAGGUUAAAAACUUGGUCAAUAAGUUAACUAUGUGCCACAAAUGUUGAUAGCUUGUGAAACAAGAUAAUUAUGUAGUACACAUAUAAAAAACUUCCCUUGUAAGUUAAGAUAUGUGUUUAGCAAAGUCAACACAUGUUAAAAGUCUUAUAGAACAUUGUUAUAUAGCUCCUAGUUAGAUAGUAUACAUGGAGGCAAGAGUGAAGCCUUCUUCACUCUUUUUAAUGCCUUUUUGGUUCUUAGUCUUCUUUCAAGACUUUCUAGUCUUUUUGUUUUGGAUAAUAGCCAUUCUAAUACAAUAUUAUAUUAUCUUUGAAUGACUUUCUAGUUUUUUUAAUAUUACAAGAAUGUGUUGAGGAUUUCUUUCUUUGAGAUUCAUAUCCUUGAAAAUUUGACAAGAGUCCUAACUUACUUUUUUUUAUCUUAUUUUAGAAGUGAGUGAAUUAUCUCACUUCUAUUAUUAUAUUUUAAAUAUUAUAGACUAUCUACUUUUAAUAUAUAUAUUUAUAUAUAUAUAUAUAUAUAUAUAUUAAUACUGAUAUUUUUCUUUAAAAAAGUAGAUUGUCUUUCUUUGUAGAAAUUUUUAUUUAAUAUUAGAGAUUGUAGAUUAUCUUCUUUUUAUUUAAUUUUUUGAAUUUAUUUGAUUUAUCCAUAGAAAGAAAGAUUAUAGAUGCUACUCUCAGCGGAAGUGAGAAUAAAUUUGCAACUAUUGCACAUCUUUAUGAGCUUGUUAAUACUCUUAGAAUAGAAAUCUCGUAUAUUUCUAAUGUGAAUCAUAGAAGUACUAUACCUACAUCUAUAGAAGAAGUUUAGAGUUUGCAAUAAGAAGUUGUGUAGUUGAAGGAAGCAAGUAGAUCGACCUUGCAACCAAAUCUAAGGAGUUUUGUUCCUAUUAGUAUGAUGGAGAUAAGAAUUAGUAUACAUGAGAAGUUUGAUGGAAUAGGAUAAAAAUUUCAAAGAUUUUUGCAAUAAGUCAAGUUCUAUCUAAGGUUGGAUUUCUUCCAAUAUCUUUGUGGAUUUAUUCAAGUAGGAUUUAUAGGUGCACUUUUAUCAAGAAGUACUUACUCUUGGUUUGUAACUUUAAUGAAAAAAGAUUUGCAACUCAUCUAUGAUUUGAAUUCAUUUCUAGAAGUGUUAAUGGCUACAUUUGAAAAAAAAUGAUCAAAAAAGAAUAGCAAAGACUAAGCUCUUAUCUUUAUGGCAAGGAUCACGAUUAGCUAUCAUAUAUGCUAUUGAAUUUCAAAAUCUAGCUUGCAACAUGGACUAGAAUGACAAAGCCCUUAUCAAUCAAUUUUGAUAUGGAUUGAAGGAUAAUGUCAAAGAUUUGUUAUUGACAAUACAAAAGGCAAAACCUUUAGAAUAAUUUAUUAUUCAAGCUAUUGUAUGUAAUAAUCGAUUAUUUGAAAGAUGUCAAGAAUAAAAAUUUGAUUGAAGAAGAACAAAUCAAAUAAUGACAAUAAUUAUCAAGUUUUUAAAAACUUGUUCAUUGAGGCUAAAAUCAAUGUAAAUUGAUAUGGUAUGUUUUAAACCCCUCUCACAGCAGGAAAAGACUUAACAAUAUCAAAAAGGCUUAUGCUUAUAUUAUAGAGAAGCUAAAUACACUGCUCAACAUUGUCCAAAGAAACAAUGCAAUCACAAAAUAAAAAGCAUUGUUGCCAAAGAAGAAGAGGUAUCAUAAAACAAGUUUUUCCAACUACAGUAGGGACUAUGCAGCUAAAAUCUUAUAUAACUCUUAGUAAAGGUCCUAUUUUCUCCUCGGAUCCUUCACCUUGUUUUACAAUAGAAGUUUAUUUAGGACCAAAAAAUCACAAAAACUUAGCUUUAUUAGAUUUAAGAGCCUCAACUUAUUUUAUAGAUAAAAAUUUUGCCAAAAAAUGAAAAAUAUCAUUAGUCAAAAAGACUAAAUAUGUAUAUGUAGAAGUUAUAGAUGGUCAUUUUCUAUCUUCUAGAGUUGUUACACAUGAGAUUAUUCUUUUAGAUAUAGCAAUUAAAGAUCAUAAUAGCAUGUCAAUAUUUAAUAUAAUAAGAUCUAUGUUUAAUUUGAUAAUUUUAGAAAUUAUCUUUGUUAAAAAAAUAUAAUCUUUAGAUAGAUUGGAUUUUUCUUAAUCUUAAUUUUUCUUAUAAUUUAAUUCAAAAUCUCAUUAGUCAAGUAAAAAUAUAUAACUCUAAUACAUCUAAAUCUUUAUUGGUAGAUGCAAGAGCUUUUAUACAUGUUGCAAAAGAAGGGUUAUUUUUUUCUCUAUAUACCAUGCCUAUUUCAAAUAACAAGAAGAUGUCAAGUGAUAUUCUUAGCUAAUAUUAAGAUUUUCAAGACGUUUUUGAAAAUAAGAAUGCAGUUAUUCUUCCAAAGUAUUGUCCUUAUGAUUGUUCUAUUGAUCUUCAUAAAAGAAUUCAACCACCAUUUGGACCAAUCUAUAGCCUAUCACAAAAUGAAUUGGUUGCACUCAAAGAGUACAUUGAUGAAAACUUAGCUAAGAAUUUCAUAUGUCAUUUUAAAUCUCAAACUAAGUCUCUUAUUUUAUUUGUGAAGAAAAAAAAAUAGAUCUCUAUGGAUGUGUGUAGACUAUUAAAGAUUAAAUAAGAUCACCAUCAAAAAUAGGUAUCUACUACCUUUGAUUUUAGGACUUCUUGAUCAAUUCAAUCAAGCAAAGAUCUAUAUAAAAAUAAAUCUACAAAGAGUAUAUAAUUUGGUAUACAUUAAUAAAGGAGAUGAAUAGAAAACUUCAUUUCAAACCAUGUAUAAAUAUUUUGAAUAUAAUGUCAUGCCUUUUAGACUUACAAAUGUACUAAUUACUUUUCAACAUGUAACAAGUGAUGUUUUUUGUGAAUUUCUUGAUGAUUUGUCAUUUUUUAUUUAAACAACAUGUUAAUCUACUCAAAGAACACAAAUGAGCAUAAAGUUUAUAUUUUUUGUGUAUUAAAAAAACUUAGAAAUACAAGAUUAUAUGCAAAGUCAAAAAAUUAUGUAUUCCACACUAUUCAAGUUAACUUCCUAAAAUACAUCAUUUUCAAUGAAGGGCUAAUGGUAGAUCUGAAAAAAGUCUAAACUAUCAUGGAUUAGAAGAUUCCAAAAAUAGUAAGAAAUAUGUAAUACUUAUGAGCUUUGCUAAUUACUAUCAAAAAAUUUUCAAGUUGUAGUGCUACUUAUAUGUUUGACUUAUAAAAACAAAUUUGAAUAGAAUAAAGAAGCCAAAGUAUUUUUUGAUGCUUUAAAAAAGGCGUUUAUUUUUUCACCAAUUUUAUAUCAUAUUGACUUUUCUAAAGUAUUUUUUAUGGAAAUAGAUGCAUCAAACUUUGCCUUGGAUGCAAUAUUAUCACAAAUAGGAGCAGAUGAUAAACUCUAUCUAGUAGCUUUUUAUUCUAAAAAAUUUCAAUAGCCAAGAUUAAUUAUGAAAUCCAUAACAAAAAGCUCCUUGCAAUCACAGAUUUAUUUUAAGAAUGGCAUCAUUAUUCUUAUCUUGCACCAAAAGAAAAAGAUGCAUCUUUUGAUCAACAAAAAAUGAUUUUCUUGAAGUCAAAUUAUUUUCACCUUCAAGCAACAAAAUGAACAUUGAUUGUUGAUUCAACGUUUGUCAAGCAAAUUCAAUCAAGUAUAUCCUCUGAUCUUCUUGUCUAUGAUAUCAAGAAUAAUUCUUCUAAGUCUCAUGAUAUUUUCAAGUUUGAGUUCAAGAACAACCUAUUUUAUUUUGAAAGACGAUUAUACAUUCCAAAAGAUGGAAUUUGAUUACGUAUUCUUCAAACUCAUCAUGACUUUCUAGCAACUAAAUAUUUUAGUUACAAUAAGACUUUGGAGUUAAUAUUGAGAGGUUUUUGGUGGCUUCAAAUAUAGAAGGAAGUCCAAGACUUUGUACAAUCAUGUGAUAUUUUUUCAAGUUCCAAAACUCAUCUCCAUCAAUCUCAUAAACUUUUUCAGCCAUUACUUAUUCUUAAGCAAUCAUGGUCUUCUAUUUCUAUGGAUUUUAUUAUGGUGUCAAGUUGUGGUUUGGCUACCAUAUAAAAAUAAUGUGAUUAUGUAUUUAAUGUAUAAUUUAAUUAACAACAUAGUGAGAGCCAUGUUAUUGGAUUUUAAUUGGUUGUAGAAUGUGGUUAAAUUACUACUUUAAAAAGAAUUUGUUUAAAAUGAUUACUAUUAGAAUUUAUAUAACUUUAUUUUCUUUUGAUAGUAGCUUUUGAGAUUGAUUUUAUUGGUAGUAAUUUUAAAUAUUUAGAAUCAUCUUUAUUAGACAUCGGUGACCCUUGAAGUCUUAUUUUGGUUCUUUAAUUUGGUGUUUAGAACAUAUAUUGAAUAAAUCUUAUAAAGAAAAGAGUUGGAGAGGGCUUUUGAUUAUAAAAAGAGAAUUUAGGGCAUCUAUAUAGAUGAAUGGAGAUGGAUGAUGAAAAUCUCCAUUUCUAUUGGUCAAAAAUCAUGACCAAUGGGCUUCAAGGAGGCUGACCAAGGCCGUAUUAGAGAUUAGGGUUAGUUUUUCGGACCCAUUUGAGCUUUGAAGGCUAAGGUCAGUAAGUUUAGGUUUUUGGCUAUGGUUUUGAUGCAAAUGUUAUAUGAUUCAGAGUUUAUAUGAAGGAGAUAUAGGUGCUCAAAGUUAAGGUGUUGAUUUGGAAGCUACUAUCACUAUUUUUGACAUAAUGCACUCAUACAGAUAGCAAUUGAAGUUCGAAGACUGCGAUUGAAGAGAGCACUUUUGUGGCUAUAGUUUUUGGAUACUGUUUGCUAGAUUCUAAAUUGAAGUGAAGGAGUUAUUGGAUUUUGAAGUCAAUACAUGCAAUCUAAGGGUAGUAUGUAAUCCGAUUUACUAGUGGUUAUAUCUUGAACUAUAUCUUGAGUAAUUUGACAAGGUUAUGGUUCAAAAUUUAGAAAAUUUGUAAAUUCAUGUUAGAAAACUUUGUACAUAAGUUUUAUGACAUUUGAAUAUUGGAUUCUUGAGAUAUUAAGAAAAUAGUACUCACGUGCUUAUAAAUUAGGGUUUAAAGCAUUUGCUAGGAUUUCUUAGUUGUCAGAAGAUUGGGAGUGAAUUUGUAAUUGGAUUUUUUUUGUAGUAAAACUUAAGGAUGAAUUCUACGUACCUUAUAAAUUUGAGAUGAAUUGAAUAGUUAAAUGAAGAGUUAUGAAUUUCUAAAGUUCAAGAAGAGAAAACCCUUCACAGAAAAAAUAUGUUUUGAAGGGAUUUUGUUAUAUUUUUAGUUUUAUGCAAAUUAAAGGAAUUUUGGAAGCUAAGAUAAGAUUAAUAUAAAAUUUUAAGCUAAAUUCUCUAUAUCUAGAUACCUAGUGUAUUCCCAGAUAGCAAAUUACGCCAUACGACAAUAGAUUUUUCAGUUUCAGAUUUGUAUGUUUCUAUAUUUGUAGUGGUAGAUUUUUUUAUCGAGAUGAUACAUUUUAUAUCAUAUACAAAAUCUAUAAUAAGUGAAGAAAAAACUAAGCUUUUAUUUAACAACAUCUAUUGCUAUUAUGGAUUGCCUUAAGAUAUUAUAUUAAAUAAAAGAACUUAAUUUAUAUCAAGAUUUUAGAGAUUUUUUUUUAAGAUUUUAAAUAUGGAUAUAAAGCUUUCUUUGGCUUUUCAUCUUUAGACUGAUGGACAAACAAAAUGGAUAAAUCAAGUUUUAGAGUAAUACUUGAGGUGUACUAUCAACUAUCAUCAAGAUGAUUGGAUAAUUCUUUUACCAUUGGCAGAGUUUGCAUAUAAUAAUUUAUACAUUCUUCCAUUCAACAAACAUCUUUUUUUGCCAAUUAUGAUUAUUAUCCAUGACUUGAUACUUUUGACUUUUCAAAAGUUGAUAAUCCUAUGGCAAAAGAUUUGGCAAAUUGUUUGUUAGAGCUAUAUGCAACAAUGAAGGCUCAAUUAAAAGGAGCUCAAGAACGACAAAAAAUUAACGUAUGUGCCUAUCACAAAAAAUAAUCACAAUUUAAUGUAAAUGAUAAAGUAUGGUUACUUUGUCACAAUAUCAAGACUAUUCAUCUUUGUGACAAGUUGGACUAUUGUAGGCUUUGAUUUUUUCUAUUAAUAAAUAAAUCAAUCUUGUUGCUUAUCAAUUAUAUUUGCUAGAGUCUAUGAAGAUUUAUCCUAUAUUUUACAUGUCUCUUCUUGAGCCAUAUAAGACAGUGAACAUCUUGAGAAGAAGACAAAUGUCACUUCCUAUAGAAGUGGAUAAUAAUAAAAAAACUCAAGAUAGAAGAAGUCUUAGAUUCAAGGCAAUGCUAAAAUAUGUUAGAAUAUCUUUUUCAUUAGUAUGGAUAUGAUAUUAGUAAAUGCACAUGGAAGCCAACAAAAAAUCUUACAAGUACAGCAAAGAGAAUUGAAGCUUUUCAUCUACAACAUCCAUCAAAACGAAGAUGAAGAAUAAAAAAUCUUUGCUAUAAAAAAAAAAGAUCAAAAGAAAGUAACACUCUACCUUUUAUCCUUCUUUAUAGCUUUUGUGUAUUUAUGAUGCUAAAGAGAUGGAGAACCAACAAUCAGUCGAUUCAAUUCAAGAGCUUUUAUUUGCAAACUUAUUAAAUGAGAUAUUGUAAUUUUUACAACCUUCAAGAUGAUGAAAUCGAGAUGAAGAUCCUCAAAUAUGACAUAUCUUUUCUUGAAUAGAUAGUGAGAUAUAGCAUAUUUGAUAUCACAACCUUGGAAGAGACUCUUAAUUUUUGGUGAUUUUAUUAGAAGUAGGAACAAUUCCUAAAGGAAUUUCAAAUAUUUUGUUUGAAAGAAGUUAUAAAAGCCUCAACAAUGACCAAAUAAUAGGGUGGUCUUUUUGCCCUGGUAUGGGACACUAUUGAUAGUUGAGAAGACCUAUCAACCAUCUUCAAAGGAAACAAAGAUAAAAGUAUGUGAAAAAAAAAAUUUGUUGCAUCUUAGAUUUUUUCAACAUUUGAAGACUGCUUCUUAUGGAAUUCAUCCCUAAAAGGAGAAAUAAUGUCAUAGAUAUAUAUAGGUAUUCUAAUAAAUAUCUAUAUGAUUAGAUAAAAGUAAAUAAAAAUAAAUAAAAAUAAUUUAAUUUUAUAAUACCUUCUUGAAAAGCUUCCUAGAAGCUUUAUAGAUAUUACUUUGAUUUUAUAUGUAUUUGUAGUUAAUUGGUAGGUUAGAAAUUAGAUCAACAAGUUAACCACAUGUUGGUAGCUUGCAAAACAAUCUAAUUAUGUGGUGCACAUAUAAAAAACUUGCCUUACAAGUUAAGGUAUGUAUUUUUUAAAGUCAACAUAUUUUGGACAUCUUAUAGGACAUUGCUACAUUGGUCUUAAUUAAGAGUAUAUAUGGAGGCAAGAGUGAAGCCUUCUUCACUCUUGUUAAUGCCUUUUUAAUCUUUAGUCUUGUUUCAAGACUUUCUAGUCUUUUUAUUUUUGACAAUAGUCAUUUUAGUUCAAUACCAUAUUAUCUUUGAGUGACUUUUUAGUUCUUUUUAGUAUUACAAGAGUGUAUUAAGGAUUUCUUUCUUUAAAAUUCAUAUUCUUAACAGUUAUAGAUUAUUCACCUUUAAACAAAUAGUUUAGUUUUUUAACAUUGAUUUUUUGUUUAAAAAAAGUAAACUAUCCCUCUUUGUAGAAAUUCUUAUUUGAUAUUCGAAUUUAUACUUUAUUUUCUAUUAAUUUAAUAUUUUGAAUUUAUUUGAAUUAUCUAUGAAAGAAAAGAUUAUUAAUAUUAUUUUUGAUAGAAGUGAAAUUAGAUUUAUAACUAUUGUAAAUUUUCAUACAUUUUUCAACCUUCUAAGAAUAAAAAUCUUAUAUAUUUCUAAUAUGAAUUAUGGAGAUACUAUUCUUAUACAUCUAAAAAAAAGUUCACAGUCUAUGCCAUAAAUUUGUAUAAUUAAAAGAAGUAAGUAGAUCAGCCUCACAACCAAAUUUAGAAAGUCUUAUUUCUACAAGUACAAGAGAAGCAAGAAUUAGUAUGCCUAAGAAGUUUGAUGGAACAAGAUUAAAAUUUUGAGGAUUUUUGCAACAAGUUAAGCUCUAUUAAAGAUUGUAUUCUUUCCAAUAUUCUAAUAGAUUUAUUCAAGUUGAAUUCAUAAGCACACUUCUAUCAAAAAGUGUUUUUUUUUUAAUUUUCAUAUUUGAUGGAAAAAGAUUCACAACUAUUCUAUGAUUUGGAUUUAUUCUUAAAAAUAUUUAUAGCUAUAUUUGAAAAAAGUGAUUAAGAAAGAAUAGCAGAAACCAAGCUCAUAUUGCUACAACAAGAACCACAUUAAACUACUACAUAUGCCACUAAAUUCUAAAAUAUUGCUUGCAAUGUGGAUUAAAAUAACAAAGUCUUUAUCAAUCAAUUUUAAUAUGGAUUAAAAGAUAAUGUCAAAGAUUUAUUAUUGAUAAUUUCAAGAGUUAAUUGUUGCAUACAAGUUAAGCCAUAAUAACACCUUCUAAGUUUUUAAAAGCUUACUUAUUUAGGCUAGAGCCUAUUCAAAUUAACUUGGUACGUUUUAAAUUUUUUAUUGAGCAAAAAAAGACUCAUUGUCAAAAAGAUUUAUGCCUAUAUUGUAGAAAAUCCAAGCAUAUUGCUCAACAUUAUCCAAAGAAGCAACAUAAUUAUAAAAUGAAAAGAAUGGUUGUUAAAGCAAAUGAUGUAUUAAAAAAAUAAUUUUUUCAACUAUAAUAGGGACUAUACGGCUAAAAUCUUAUAUAAUACUUGAUAAAGGUCUUAUUUUUUCUUCAAAUCCUUCAACUUAUUUCACAAUAGAAGUUUAUUUAGGAUCAAAAAAUCACAAAGUCUUAACCUUAUUAGAUUCAAAAGCCUUAGCCUAUUUUAUGGAUUUUUUUUUUUUUUAAAAAAAAUAAGAGAUAUUAUUAGUCAAAAAAACUAAAUCCAUAUAUAUAGAAGUCAUAGAUGGUUGUUUGUUGUCUUUUGAAGAUAUUAUUGAUGAGAUUAUUUUUUAAAUAUAGUAAUUAAAGAUCAUAAUAGCGUAAUAAUAUUUAAUGUCAUAAGAUCUCCAUUCAAACUAAUUAUUUUAAAAUUAUUGUAGUUAAAAAAGUAUAAUCCUUGGAUAGAUUGGACUUUUUGUUAUUGAAUUAUGUGAAGUCUUGCUUGAGAAUGCAUCAAGUAUCUAGCUAUAGAAGAUAAAAGAAAAUUAUAACAAUAAGUCUUAAAAACUCUAAUAGAAUCAUAUAUAAAUUGUAAUUAAAGCUUAACAAAGAUAAUUAAACAUUGAUAAAGUUAAAUUGAAAUUUUAAAUAAAUUAUAAAAGAAAUAUAAAAAAAUCCUAAAAAAAUCUUAAUUAAAUCUUAAUAAAAUCUUUAAAAAAUCCUAAUUAAGCCUGAAAAAAAUCCUAAUCAAAAUUUAGUCAAAUCCUAGAUAAAUCCUAGAUAAAUCCUAGUUAAGCCUUAGACAAAUCCUAAUCAAACUUUAGAAAAAUCUUAAUCAAAUUUUAGACAAAUUUUAGACAAAUCUUAGUCAAAUCCUAAAUAAAUUCUAAUCAAAUCCUAUAAAAAUCUUAAUCAAAUCCAAGAAAUAUCCUAAAAAAAUUCUAAUCAAAUCCUAAAUAAAUAUUAGAAAAAUUCUAAUUAAAUCUUAAACAAAUUCUAAUCAAAUUCUAUAGUAGAUUGAAACCUCUAUAAAUAAAAAUUAAAAAAUUAAUUUUAACUCAAAUUUUGCAUAUCUCUCAAUAACUAAGCUGAUAAUAAGGACAAAUUAUUUUAAGAAAAUCGAAUUUACCAAAUAGAAGACAAAUCCUAAAAUCUGCUUAGAUAUUAGUUAGCCUUCUUCUUCAAUCUUGAUGCUAAUCUUUCAAAGCCAAAAUCUCUUAAUUCCACCAUUAAAUACCUCUCAAAUUUCACAUAUAUAUUAAAAAUCAAGUCUAUUACUUAUAUAUAUAAAUUUUAUUUCAAUCCAACUAGUAGAUUGCUAAAUAUCUUAGAAAUCCUCACUAACCUUCAAAACUUUAUUUUUGAGAUCUUAAUCCACUUGAACUUCAAUAACGUUUAAUCUAACUGUUGGCAUGAUGUAAUAAGGAUAAUGAAUGAAAGAAAAAAAAUAUAUUCUAGAAUAUCUCAUUUUAAAAUAUUAUAGCAAAUUAUCUUUAAAAUAUAGAUAAUAGUCAAAAAGAUAGUAAACAAAAAACUUUUAAUGCUUCUUUUUUACAAAAUAGACUUCUAUUUACUUUGUAGGACCAUAAAUAAUCCAAAAAAAAGUAGAUUGAAAAAUUAAUUAAUAUAAGCAUAUGUAGGAAGGAUUUAAGAGAAUAUUUUAGUAAAAUUUACCUCAAGAAGCCAAGAAUCGAUACCCAAAGAGGACCACUUGUCAAUUUGGAUUGAAAUCAAAUCUUAAGGCAUAAAAUCAUGCAUCUAUGGCAACUCAAGAGUUCUUUCGUAGAUUGGAGAGUAGAAAUUGACAAAAAACUUGCAAAGAGAUUUUUAGGCAUUAGCUUUAUAUCAAUUGAUUUAAUAUUCAAUUUCACAAGGAUUUUUAAAGUUAAUAAUAUUCUUGAUUGGUUUAGAUUUUAAUACAUAAAACUAUGUUUAAAUAUUUGAAAGUUUCUUGAGUUUUGUGGUAUGUAUAUAAGUAAAUUUUGAAUAGAAUUUUGAUGGAAUAGUUAUAAAUUUAUUUGCAAAUUUUGAGAUCAAUCAAAAUAAUAGAUCAAAGUGUGUAAAGGUUUUUGUGGGUUGAGGUCUCAAAAAUUGGAAUUUGAAGGUCAAUGAAUAUUUCUAAGAUUUCUAGAAAUUUGCUAAUUGGAUUGAAGUGAAACUUAUGUAUAUGAGUAGUAGACUUAUUUUUCUAUAUGUAUGUGAAUUUUGAGAUCAAUUAAACGAUGUAAAAUAGGAAUAUUAGUACUAGAAGAUCAACAUCUAGGUUGGAAAAGGAGGCCAGAUAAUACCAAAGAAAAUUUUAGGAUUUUUCUUUCAUUUGGUAAGUAAAAUUAUCUUCAAAUUUUUUAUAAUUUUUUUUAUCUAAGAAGUUGAGAGGUUUGUAAAUUUUUAAGUAAGAUCAAUAAUUUAAUCAAUAGAUAUUGGGAUUCUAAUCUAUCUUAGGAUUAAUUUGAAUUGAUUAGAUUUUGGUUAGGAUUUGAUUUAUGAUUUAGGAUUUCUCUAAGAUUUGGUUUAAGAUUUAGGAUUUGUUUAGAGCUUAGGAUUUUUCUAGGAUUUAUUGUAGGAUUUAGGAUUUGUCUAAUAUUUGAUUUAGGAUUUAAAAUUUAUCUAAGAUUCAAUUUAGGAUUUAGGAUUUAGUUAGGAUUUGAUCUAAGAUUUUGUUAAGAUCCAUUAGGUUUUUAAUUGAGAUUAAAAUAGAAUUUAAUUAGAAUUUAUUUAAUAUUUAUUUAAUAUUUCUUUAAGAUUUCUUAUAAAUUUCUUUUGGAUUUCUUUAAAAAAAAUUUAAAAUCUAUUUAUUAUUUCUUAAUGAUUUCUUUAUGUUUUUUUUGUAAUUUAUUUAAUAUUUAUUUUAGAUUUGAUUAAAUCUUGAUUGACAUUAUUAAUAUUUAAUUGGAGUUUUUUUAGGAUUCUAUUAGAAUUGUUAACAUCUUGUUGUUGCAAUUUCUCUUCUACCUUCUAUAGCCAAGUAUCCGAUACAUUCUCAAGUAAGACUUUAUGUAAUAUGACACCAUUUGAUCAUACUCAAACUUACAACAUGUAAUAAAGAUAAGUAUUAUCACAAAUCUAUAACUUAUCAUCUAUAGAUCUACUAUCAAACUUACAGAAUUCUUUCAAAUUUAAAUUAUUUUUUUAUUUUACAAAAAAAAAAUUACCAAAAAUAACCUUGAUUUUGCAAAGCUCUCAUAAAGUUAUUUCAAAUUAAAAUUAUCCAAAUUCAAUACUCAAAAAAAUCCUAUGAAUUCUCCCCUCAAAUCCCACUCUUUGAUUUGUAAAAAAAAAUCCUAAGUUGCCAUAGGUGCCCAAUUUUGUGUCUUGGAAUAUGAUUUCGACCUUCAUUGACAAUCAAGCUUUUUUAGAUAUCAAUUCUUAUUUUCUUAAGGUAAUUUUUACUAGAAUCAACUCCUAACUUCCUUGUAUAUAUGUAGAAUAGAUAUUAGUUUGUUUCUAUAAGAUAUUGGUAAAAUAGACUAAUAGUCCAUAGAAUAUUCAGUUCAGGAGGACGGAUGAUUGAUUUAGUUAUUAAAAGCGGUUAAUUACAGGAUUACGAUUAGAAUCUAGAAAUUAAGAGGAAUUAUAUAGGAGUUGUAGAAGUUUAUUGGGGGGCCAGAUUGUGAUAGUCAUGAGCUAGGGUAAGCUUGGUGUUACCUCUUUGUUUCUUUGUUUUCUUUCUUGUUGAAGAGUAAUGGAUAGUUUUUGAAUACUGAGAAGUGAGUUUGUGGAAUAAAUCAAAGAUUGAUUUAUGAGUUAUUGAUUAUGUAAUUGGAGUAUUAAGUGAUUGAAUUAUAUGAGGAGUUAUUGAAAGAUUAUGAUUGUUGUUUAUUGAGAGUUAUGUGUGUUUGGACAAAAGAAGUUGGUGAUUACAAAAACUCUAUGAAUUCAGAUUGGUUGGAGUGAAAUCUGUUAUUCCUAGUAUUGGAUGGAAAUUAUUAUGUUUUAAGUGGUCUUUCGAGACUGCAAGGUUACACACUCUUGUUAUCAGUUGAUGAAGGAGUAUUAUUACUGGGAGAAAAUAUUGUAAUGUUUCUUAGUAUUUUAGUGGUUUGAAAUGCAGUUAAUUGUGUGACCCUAAUAAGUAAAACUUAUGCACUUAGUCUUUCCCUAUGUUUGAAUUCCCUUAUACAAAUUUAUUCUGAAAGGAAUUGUAGAAUAAAUAAAACGAUAAUCAGUGGAUAUCCACGUAGUUAUCCACGGAUAUUAGAAAUAGUGGCCAAUUCCAAUGCCAAUAUUCACGGGCCAAUUAAUGUCACUUCAUUGCAAGUCAUAUCACCGAACGUGACAACAGCGUAUGUUCCAUAUUUUUCGUAUCAACAAUAAGUAUUAACUUCGAUAGAGUUACUAUUAAUACCAGCCCAAAAAGAUUUCAAUGAAACCUUAUUAUUGAAUCUGACGAAGAAAAUGGAAGAAAUGGUCGUUAAUAUGGCCUAAGAUAAGGAGAAGAGGCACAAGCCUACUAAUACUAGGACCAAUGUAUGGUGCAGUAAUUGUAAGGGUCAUGGUCAUUUGGUAACAGAAUGCCCUUCAUCCUCACAAAUGAUGGGUCAAUGUACAUUUUGCAAAGGAAAGCAUUUCACAGUUAAUUAUUGGAAUUGGCAAAGGCAACAAUAAUUCAGUAAUCAAACCAUAAUCCCACCAACUCACUUGGACGUCAAUAAAGUUCAAACAAAAAAUACAUUUGGAUGGAAUGGAAAUCGAUCUAAUCGACAAAAUUGAGCAUUCCAUAACUUUCAAAGUUCCAAUUUUAAUCAAGGGUCUACAUCAAACUCUCAAACCUAUGGGAAGGAGCAUCAGAGAUAUUAGCAAUAUGCUCGACCGCAUCAUCGAACCAAGUAUCCUUCAUACCAACGGGACAACCAAGAUCAUUUUCUAAUCCUACACGAAUAAGCCUAGUAGGUAUAUACCGAUGGAGACACUCAAUAUGCCUGAUGGGGGUGUAAGAAGACCACUUCAUUGUUUUCGUUGCAGACAGAUUGGUCAUUAUGCUAAUAAAUGUUCCAAUCCCAGAGCCAGUGACGAUUAGAGCAAGUCUAUGGGAAUUGCAAGCAGUUGGGACAUACUUAUCAGCAAUGUAAUGCUUCAUUCAAUUUCAAUAAUUGGGAUCUGCAGAUCCAAAACUAAAGAAAAAUAGAGGAGAUAAAUUAAGGUCCUCAAGAUUCUCCGAUAAAUUAGGUGGAAUGUGUCCAAGCCAUUUUUACUAGGAGUCAGCAAAAAAAAAAAGGAUCAAUUCAAUAUUUGGGUGAACUUGAUGUGAAGGGCCAAUUUGACCCAAUUAUAGAAACAUCCAAUCUAGAUCCUAUUAUGGGCCUCUUAUCUAGUAUGAGACCUGACUUGGUUGGACAACCCAAUGAGGUCCUGAUUAUGGAGGCUUCGAUUCCAUUUCAAGCUAUUUCGUUCUCUAUGUAAUUUCAAAAAACGUCCUAUCUGUUGAAAGAUCCUCUCAAGGGUGCAAAUUCCAAAGAAGCUCUGGCUAUUGUUCCAAUUCCAAGUCUAGGAUGGAAGAAUAUCUUACCUCUCGGAGUUAAACUCAACCCAAUGAAAAGAAAGGGGGUAUUGGAAAUUACCUUAAAUAUGGAACCUUGUAGAAUAAGUAGUUAUUUGCUGAAUUGUAGAUACUUAGUUUAUAGUGUAAACAGGGAUAGAUGACUGUUGAAAAGAUAGUUCAGUAGGUAAAAUGGAUGAAUAGUUAAGAAAAGCAGUUUUCAUUAGAGAUGUAGCAGUUGGUAUCUCGUGGUAGCAUAAGGAGGAUGGGAGAGAGGAAGUAAGGGCCAGACUGUGAUAGUAUGAGCUGGGAUAAGCUUAGUGCUGUCUCUUGUUUUUUUGUUUUGUUGUUUAAAGUUCUGAAUACUGUGAAAAGAAUUCAUGGAAUAAAUCAGGGAAAUGAUUUAUGAGAUAUUGGAUGUGUAACUGAAGUAUUGUGUGAUUGAAGGAGAGAAAUUUGGAAGUUGUUAUCAGAUUCUAUGAAGAUUGGUUAUAACUGGAAGAUUAUGAUCGUGGUUAAUUGAAAAUUGUGUGUAUUCGGACCAAGGAAAUCUGGGAAAACAGAAAUUAUGUAAAGUCAGAUUAAUUGAGUAAGAUUGGUUAUUCCUAGUGUUGGAUGGAAUUUAUGUGUUUUGUGUGGACUUUUGAAACAGUGCAAAUUGCAUUUAGUGGUUAUCAGUUAAUGAAAGGAUUUCAUUAGCAGGAAAAAGUCUUGUAGUGUUUCUUCGCUGUUUUAAGUAGUGCGGAAUACAGUUAAUUGUGUGACCCUAAUGUGUAAGCUCAUGCGGUAUUCUUUCCCUGUCUUCGAAUUCUCCUAUACAGGUUUACUCUGAUUAGAUUAGUUAGAGUAAGUAAAACGACAAUUACAUUUUGGCGCCACUGCCGGGGAAAUUGAUAAUAGCAUGGAGUGUUAGGUAUUAACUGCCGGUUGAAGUAGAUGGGAAAUAGGUAGUAGUCGCAGAAGAAUAUAAUGAAAGAGUAUGGUUAUUAAGAAUGAGAACUUAAUAGUAAAGAAAAUACGCCAGUCAAGAGAAAGAAUAGAGAGAUCGCAAGCAAGAAAUUUGUUGCGAAACAAGCAACAAAGAAAGUUAAAAAGGAAUCAUAGACAAAGCUGGAUUAAGCCAUGGUUGCAUGCCUGUCGUCAUAUUCGAGCAUACCCAGAAGCUAAUCGACAUCUAAUAUUUCAGAAGUAUAUACCGUUAGAAAAAUUGCCAAGAGCACUUGUGGAAAAUUUGGUCAAUAGGCCAGGGUUUCUUCUGAGACCGUUAACUAAGAGUGGGAGAAUCACAGAAGAGUUGGGUACUCCAUUGGGUACGUUUCAAUAGCGAAAACUACCAAUUCCGUCAAAACUGGUUCCAUAGAGUGGCAUAAAUUAUUGGUCAAUAAGGGCCAAUUGAGUGUGUUGUAAAAUCCGUCAUUCUCACCUCCUAUUCAACCAAUAAACUUGUUCAAGGAUAAUAAUAGCAAAUUGAGCAGGGUAGAAAGUUUAGAAAAUAUAUUUGGGAGAGACGCAGACUAUAUUAACAAACGAUUAAGUAUCACAUUGUCAAAUUCAAUGACGAAGGGAGGUCCAGCGGUUCCCAUAGCAGUACAAAUGGGUACUUUGAGUGAUCGCACAACUAGCGUGGCUCCAUUACCUACUUUUAGGGACUUUCCAGGUGUGGAUCCAGAUCAACAUUUGUCGCAGUUUUUGACAGCAUGUGUCGCCAAUAAUGGAAGAACCAAGGAUAUUUGGUUACGAUGGUUGCCAGCAACCUUAAAGGAUACGGCAUUUGAAUGGUAUAAUCGUCAACCAGUUGAUCAAUUUUCGAACUGGGAAUCAUUGAAGAAUGCAUUUUUGACCCAUUUUUGACCAAUUGGUUUUGAAGACCGUCUUCGAAGAAGGUUAAUGAACAGCAAAAUGAUCCUAGGAGAGGCGGUGGAAUCGUACUAUGGCCGAGUGGCUGAUACACUUAAUAAGUGGCUGAACCACUAAAUACCGGAGGUAUUUAUAUUAUCUAUAUUAAUAAAUGAUUUUCACCCACCAGAGCUAAAAAUGUUUAUGAAAGAAGCUCAACCAGUUAUGGUAUCUGCAUCCCUUGAUAGAGCCAAGGUUUGAGAAGAAUGCCAUUAUGAUCAGUUUUUAACUGCGAGUGCCACGAUGAUACCAGUUCAAAGCAAUUAUCAAUAUCCGGCUUUGAACGGAUCAGUGGAUAGUUAUCUACAGAUGAUCAAAAUAGUAGCCCAUUCAAGUGCCAAUACUCAAGGGCCAGUUAAUAUUACCCCAUUGCAAGCUUUACCACCGCAAUUCACAACAGCGUAUGCUCUAUAUUUUCCAUAUCAAACACAAGAGUCAACUUUGGCAGAAAAACAAAUAAUAUCAACUUCAAAAGAUUCCAAUGAAGCCUUGUUAUUGAACUUGAUGAAGAAAAUGGACGAAAUGGCCGUUAAUAUGGCCAAAGAUAAGGAGAAGAGGCAAAAGCCAACCAAUACUAGGACCAAUGUAUGGUAUAGUAAUUGUCAGGGCCACGGUCAUUUGGUAACAGAAUGUCCGUCACCUUCACAAGUGUUGGAUAAAUGUACAUUUUGUGGAGGCAAGCACUUAACCACUAAUUAUUGGAAUUUGCAAAGACAACAACAAUUCAGUAAUCCGACCAUGAUUCCACCAAUUCCAUGGGAUGUCAAUCAAGUUCAAACAGGAAAUACGUUUGGAUGGCAUGGAAAUCGAUCUAACUGACAAAAUCGAGCAGUCAAUCAUUUUCAGAAUUCCACUUAUAAUCAGGGGUUUGUAUCAAAUCCUCAGAACUAUGGUAAGGAGCAGCAUGGGUAUCAGCCAUAUGCUCCAUCAAUGCCAUUGAACCAAGUACAACCGGGACAACCAGGAUCAUUUUUUCAACCUACAUGGAACAAACCUAGUAGGUAUAUACCAGUGGAGACACCCAAUAUGCAUGAUGGGGGUGCAAAAAGGCCAUUGCGUUGUUUUCGUUGUAGACAGAUUGGUCAUUAUGCCAAUGAAUGUCCCAAUGCAAGAGCCAGUGACGAUUAUGUGUCAGUUUGUGGGAAUUGCAAGCAGUCAGGGCAUACGUAUCAGCAAUGUAAUGCUCCAUUCAAUUUCAAUAAUCGGGAUCAACAGAUCCAGAGUCCAAGAAAAAUGGAUGGGAUAAAUCGAGGUCCUCAAGACUCUCCAGUAAAUUGGGUGGAAUGUGUCCAUACCGUUCUUACUAGGAGUCAGCAAAAAGAGAAGGGCCAAUCACAUCCAAUUACGGAUCCAUCCCAUUCAAGUCCUGACAUUGAAAAAGUCUUGAGCCCUGAUUUGGUUGCAAAGCCCAAUGAGGUCCCAAUUACGGAGUCUUCAAUUUUGUCUCAAGCCAGUCUGUUCCCAUCGCAAUUCUAACAAGCAUCAUAUCCGUUGAAAGAUCCCCUUCAGAAAGGUAGUCCCAAGGAAGCUCAAGCUGUUGUUUCAACUCCAAGUCCAGGGCGGCAGAAUAAUUUACCUCACGGAGUUAAACUCAAACCCAUGAAACGGAAGAGGGCAUUGAAAAUUAUCCUAAAUAUGGAAUCCUACAAUAUUUUAAAGGAUUUGGACGCUAUUCGGCCUUCAAUUUCUAUAAAGCAACUUCUAGCAGUCGCACCAGAGUAUAGUUCCACCUUGAAUUCAUCCCUAAUAAGUCAUCGGCAUCGUAAUAUGGAAGUUUGUGAAGUUAGUUUAAACCUUGAUCUAGGUACACCAACCAUUGAUGUUUCGAUUGAUGGUGUUCUUAUCUCUGGCGUCCAGGUAGAUGGAGGUUCUAGCGUCAAUUUAAUGAACGAUGAUACAAUGGAUGCUUUAGAUUUGGAACAAUUAGUCCCCACGACAUUGGUAUUACGGAUGGCAGAUCAUAGCCGAGUUAAGCCAAUGGGUAUUUUACGGAGUGUUCAAACUAUAAUUGCAGGUAUUACAUAUGAAAUUGACUACAUUGUCUUUCGCUUACAAUGUUCAACUUUAUUGUACCCUAUUUUAUUGGGACGACCUUGGCUGUAUCAAGCAAAGGCCAAGAACGAUUGGGGUUGGGGUACUUUGACAAUUGGUAAGGGUGUAGAUAAAAUGGUGUUACAAAUGUACCCAGUACGCUAUCACGGGGAGUCUCAGUUGCCAGUAUCUGAAUUGACGUUGGACGAAGAGCUUAGCUCCGAGGAUGACACAGAAGUACCGAGUACGGAGGCCAAUGUGGAGGCAGCACAGCACCCUAAGGUGGUGUAUCAAUGUGGAGGUCCAGGGGAGUAGUUGAUAUACCCGAAGGAUUCGGAAAACUCUGCUUAUAUUAGUAUUGACUGGAAACCUUGGCAUGAUGUGCACCAUGUUAGUGCCCUCUAGACGGGAUUUGUUACUUCGCAUAUGUCAGACAUACCAAAUAACUUUAAAUCACUGCAGGAAUUGAAACAGAGUAUUGUUGCUAAACCUGUAUGUCAAACUACUAACUUAGCGACCACGACCAAACCUCGGCUAAUUAAGGUCUACGAAGGUAUUAAGGAACAAGAGUUGACUUGUUGGACAGACUUUUUCUUACAUCAUAAAUCUGCUUUUGCUUGGACUUAUGAUGAUCUACAAGGUAUCCCUGCUGAUGUCUGUGAACAUCGUAUCAUAUUGGAAGAAAACGCUAAACCGGUAUGCUAGAGGCAACAUCGCCUUAAUUCUAAAUAUUUUCUUAUGGUGUAAGAAGAAUUGGACAAGCUUCUUGCGAUGGGUUUCAUUUACCCAGUACCAAAUAGUGAGUGGAUUUCUCCAAUUGUGAUGGUGCCGAAAAAGAAUGAAAAAAUUUAAAUUUGUCAAGAUUUCUGGAAACUUAAUGCAGCCACCAAGAAAGAUUACUUUCCGUUACCAUUCAUGGAUAGUAUAUUGGACGCCGUCGCCAGUCACGAAUGCUAAUCGUUUCUCGAUGGUUUCUCCAGGUAUAAUCAAGUUCAAAUUGCAAAAGAAGACCAGCUCAAGACAACCUUUACUAUGGAUUGGAGCACAUUUGCUUAUCGCGUGAUGCCUUUUGGGUUAUGUAACGCCCCAGCCACGUUCCAACGCGUGAUGACUCAGGCUUUUCAAGACUAUCUCUGGAUAUUUAUGGAGAUCUUUUUAGAUGACUUUUAUACAUUUAGUACUAAACAAGAUCAUCUUCAUUGUUUAGGCAAAUGUUUGGCUCAGUGUGCCAAAUUUGGAAUAUCGUUAAAUCCGCAGAAGUGCCAAUUUGGUGUUCUGUCCGGAAAAUUAUUGGGCCAUAUUUUUUCCAGUUGUGGUAUUGCUACGGAUCCUGACAAAGUGCAGCAUAUCAUGAACUUGCCCAGAUCGGAGACAGUCUCCGGUGUUCGAGGGUUUGUUGGCCAUGUCAGUUAUUAUCGACGAUUUAUAAGUUCGUUUGCGAUUAUUUGUCAAGCUUUAACAAACUUACUGAAGAAACCUCUCUCCGAUGGUACUAGUCCCCUCUGGACCAAGGAGUGUACCAUAGCCUUCAAGGUCUUGAAGUCAAAAUUGGUCUCUGCACGAAUAUUGGUGGCUCCUUGUUGGACAAAGUCAUUUCAUGUAUAUGUUGAUGCAUCCAAUGCUGCUAUUGGCUCGGUGUUAAGCCAGAAUGAUGAUAAGGGAUUAGAUCAUCCCAUAUACUAUGUCAGUCGAUAAUUAGUGGCUGUCGAACGCAACUAUACUACUACUGAACGAGAGGCGUUGGAUAUGAUAUACUCGGUUCAAAAAUUUCGGUACUAUUUGCUUAGGUAUCUAUUUGUAUUUUAUGUGGAUCAUGAUGCUCUCAAAUAUCUGAUUAAUAAGCCUCAAUUGAGUGGGUACAUUGCUCACUGGAUCUUACUCCUCCAGGAGUUCAAUUUUACGGUGGUUGUCAGACUAGGGAAGCAACAUGCGAACGCGGAUCAUUUAUCCCGGUUGUCUGAUAUUCUCGAUAACGAGCCUGUUUCCGAUGAUCUUCCCAACGCUGCAUUAUUUGUGGUGGAUGUGAUAUCCCCCGAGUAUAGCGAAAUUAUUCAGUUUCUGACCUUCUAUACUUUUCCACCGACUUUCACGGACAAGCUUAAGAAGCGCCUUAUUCUGAAGAGUGCCCCAUACACGAUGAUUCGUGAUGCUUUGUAUAAACAAGGCCGAGAUGGUCUUUUACGGUGCUGUAUCUUUCCAAGUGAAGUACAGUCGAUACUUACCGGUUGUCAUUUGGAUAGUUGUGGUGGUCAUUUCGCGGGCGACAGCAUUGCUCGCAAGGCUUUAAUGGCUGGAUAUUGGUGGCCUACAAUGUUUUCUGAUGCCCACUAGUUCAUUCGUCGUUGUGAUCCUUGUCAACGAAUUGGUCGACCUACGGGUAUUUCCGCCAUGCCAUUAGUACUAAUCUUGGCCCAGGUCCUGUUUGAAAAAUGGGAUAUUGAUUUUGUUGGUCCCAUUGCACCUGCGUCAAAACCUGGUCAAAAGUGGUAUAUCUUAGUGGCCACAGAUUAUGUCACCAAAUAGACAGAGGCGAUUGCUACUCGCACCGAUAAUGCCAGUACGGUGGCAACUUUUCUGUAUGAGAAUAUUAUCACUCGCUUUGGGUGUCCCAAGGAAUUGGUCAGCGAUCGAGGCACCCAUUUCAUCAAUGCUACCAUCGCCGCCUUAAUGACCACAUAUGAGAUCAAGCAUCGUAAGACCACUCCCUAUCAUCCUCGUGCCAAUGGACAAACGGAAAAGACCAACGGCAUUUUGUGCAAAGUCUUGAUUAAGACAAUUUCAAGGGCCGGUACUGAUUGGGAGACCAAACUCUUUGCAGCUUUGUGGGCUUAUCGUACCGCCUAUAAAGUAACUACCCACUCUACUCUGUUCUAAUUAGUUUACGGUCAAGAGGCAAUUUUACCUAUCGAAUUGGAGGUUCCCAGUUUACGUAUUACCUUAGACGAACGCCUCAGUGACACCGAGUCAUUACACUCUCGGUUGAUGAAAUUGGAGGAAUUGGAUGAAAUACGGGUUGUCGCUCUAUUCCACAUAGAAGCCACUCAAAAACGGAGGAAGAGUUACUAUGAUAGUAAACUACGGCCAAAGUGUUUUAUGCCUAAUGAUUUGAUAUUGCUGUAUGACAGCCGAUUCAAUCAUUUUUUAGGAAAAUUUCAAGUUUGCUGGCAUGGGCCAUAUCGCGUAAUUGAAGGAUUUUCCAAUGGGUCUGUUCAAUUGGAGGAUUUCACGGGCCAUCGUUUCAGUACCUGCAUUAAUGGGAAUCGUUUACGGUUAUAUAAUACCUAAAACUCGGGACGGGUUUUAUUUCAUUUGAUGGGAGGGAAUUUCGAAUGGACUCAGGAGGGACCUAAUUAUGGUAUAAGGCGUAGAGGCGGCUGCAAGGAUAUUUAGUUAUUACUAUUGUGUCAGAUGCGAAGAAAGUGAGAAAUGGAUAGUAUGGGUACCAUGUUGUCGUUCUCAUCACUAGGUAAUAGAAUAGGAGUAGGGCUCCUAUUAAGGAUUAUUCUGUGGUGUUAUAUUCUGUUGUUGCUUAUUUGUGUUUCAUUUUAGUGUUUCGGACAUACUGGAGAGUCGCAUUGACGGUUAGGACCUGUAAGCGUUUGAGUCAUGGCGAUUGAAAGUACCAAGAGAGCUGUAGACAGAGAUGAAAGUGGCCGGAAUGUGAGAGCUAAACGCAUAGCAAAACCACUGGCUGUGAUAAUCGUUACCAAUAUGGAGCUGAUGAAGUUAGAAAUCUGUUGGACGUAGAGAAAAAUAAGGGAUUUUUGGACUGCAAAGCUGUUCCAGUUUUUUCAAAAUUCAAAGCGUUUAUCAUCAAUUAAUGUGUCAUUAAUGUAGGAAUACAUUGAGAAUUACGACCUCGAGGAUGGAUCGAGUGUCAUUCAAGGGCGAAUUAUCGGGAUUGAUGAAACAAUUCUGGAAAAGGUGUUGUUUCUUCCCAUUGGAGAGAUGGCAGUAGGGACUGAUGAGUCAAGCGAUUUCAGCCCAGAUAGAUAUUUCAAGGGAGGAAUGUCAUCCUUUGAAAGGAGCCAAGGAUGGUGGACUUAGGAGGCGAUUACACCAGAAUAUGUGGAAUGGUUGCGGUUCGUGCUGAGGCGGUUAAGAUUGUACCGACACCCCACAUAUGUGUCAAAACGAUUAUUGUAUGCAGCAGUAGGGGCGUUUGAAGGCAUGGUGUUCAAUUGGACGGCUUACGUAGCUACUCGUAUUCAUGCGGAGAUAGGAGCCAAGUUCAAAUUGGGGAAGUUCACAUCCUUGCUUUGUUCAAAUUAUGUGUAUGUUGUCAUCACGCACACAUUGCGUCAACCAACGUCAGAAGAGAAAAACCCUAUAUCAGUGUCAGCACCUUUGCAGAGAGAACGAAAUUUGUUGGCACAGAAUCACAAUGCAGCGGAUGUAAUAUACGAAAUUGGAGAAUCAAGUCGUACAGUGGUUCAAGGGGUAGCUCCGGUUAUCAAAGCAAGACGGGUUCCAAGUGGUGUUGCGGUGGAAGAGGAGAAUCAAGUCCCAUUAUUGAUAGAUAUCAACCAGUUGGUGUUUCCAGAAGGUUGAUUACCUAAAGGAGUAUCUCUUAAAAAUGUUGUAUUGAAGCACAUUUCGCAAAUAUAUUGUAUGGUACGAGCAUUGGAUGUAGAAGACAGAAGUAAACGGGAUUGGGAGGACAGUAAAAAAAGGAUAUCGGAUCAAAAUCGAAAAAUUAGAGAGCAAAAACUGAGGAUUCAAGAAAUUGAAGAAGCCAAGUUGGUCCUGGAGUGGAAAUUGGUUCUCCAAUAUGAGGCUUGGAUAAAGGAAAAAGAACAGAUUUCACGGAUUGUGGAAGGACAAUGGGAUGAAUUGAUUCAGAAUAGGAAGUCAUGGGAUUUGGAACGGGAGAAGUUCAAAUGCCAGUUGCAAGCGGAAGUGGACAAGACAGAGUUAUUGGGGACAGAGAAAGCGUUAUUGUGUGACCAAUUGAGAUGUGAAACGGAAAAAAUGAGGUCUGAAAUUGAAGUUUUAUAAAAUGAGGUAUCAAAACUGACGGAAGAGUUAACUAUGAGGAGCCAAUCUCAAGUGUCGAUUGAAGAUGUCCUAAAAGGGAUGAGUCCGCAGCAACAUCAGUUGGAACUUCGCUAUUCCCAGAUCUUGAAACUGGAAGCUCAAGUCCGUGAAUUGGGAGAAUACAAUGAAGAUCUUUCAGCCUAGUUGAGAAAGGAGUCGCUUGAAAUAUUAGAAGAGGAUGAAGACGUACCACUAGAGCCAGAAUCGAUGGAACCAAUAACGGAUAAUGUAGUAAUUGAUCAAUUGGGUGUAUCAGAUAAAUAGAAAUUUUGGAGAAGUUUUUUUUAGUUAUAUAUCGGUUCUAUGUUUGUGAGGACGCUGCACAUAUGGGAGUGGGGCUAUGUAGAAUAAGUAGUUAUUUGCUGAAUUAUAGAUACUUAGUUUAUAGUGUAAACAGGGAUAGAUGACUGUUGAAAAGAUAGUUCAGUAGGUAAAAUGGAUGAAUAGUUAAGAAAAGCAGUUUUCAUUAGAGAUGUAGCAGUUGGUAUCUUGUGGUAGCAUAAGGAGGAUGGGAGAGAGGAAGUAAGGGCCAGACUGUGAUAGUAUGAGCUGGGAUAAGCUUAGUGUUGUCUCUUGUUUUUUUGUUUUGUUGUUUAAAGUUCUGAAUACUGUGAAAAGAAUUCAUGGAAUAAAUCAGGGAAAUGAUUUAUGAGAUAUUGGGUGUGUAACUGAAGUAUUGUGUGAUUGAAGGAGAGAAAUUUGGAAGUUGUUAUGAGAUUCUGUGAAGAUUGGUUAUAACUGGAAGAUUAUGAUCGUGGUUAAUUAAAAAUUGUAUGUGUUCGGACCGAGGAAAUCUGGGAAAACAGAAAUUGUGUAAAGUCAGAUUAAUUGAGUAAGAUUGGUUAUUCCUGGUGUUGGAUGGAAUUUAUGUGUUUUGUAUGGACUUUUGAGACAGUGCAAAUUCCAUUUAGUGGCUAUUGGUUAAUGAAAGGGUUUCAUUAGCAGGAAAAAAUCUUGUAGUGUUUCUUCGUUGUUUUAAGUAGUGCGAAAUACAGUUAAUUGUGUGACCCUAACAUAUAAGCUCAUGCGGUAUUCUUUCUCUGUGUUCGAAUUCUCCUAUACAAGUUUAUUCUGAUUAGAUUAGUUAGAGUAAGUAAAAUGACAAUCACAAACCUUAUGACAUUUUGAAGGAUCUGGAUGCUAUUCGGCCUUCUAUUUCUAUGAAGCAACUUCUAGCGAUCGCACCACAGUACCGUUCUACAUUGAAUUCAUCGUUAACAUGGCAUAGGCAACGCAAUAAGGAAAUUUGUGAAGUCAGUUUGAACCUUGAUCCAAGUGCAUCAACCAUCGAUGUUUUGAUUGAUGGUGUUAUGAUCUCGGGUGUUCAGGUGGAUGGUGGUUCCAGCGUCAAUUUAAUGAACGCUGAUACAAUUGAUGCUUUAGAUUUGGAACACUUAGUACCCACAACAUUGAUGUUAAGGAUGGCAGAUCAUAGCCAAGUUAAACUAAUGGAUAUUUUCGGGAGUAUUCAAACUAUAAUUGCUGAUAUUGCAUAUGAAAUUGACUACAUUGUCUUUUGGUUAUAACGUUUAACUUUAUCACAUCCAAUUUUAUUGGGAUGACCGUAGCUUUAUCAAGAAAAGGCCAAGAACAAUUGGGGUCGGGGUACUUUGACAAUUGGUAAGGGCGGAGACAAAAUGGUGUUACAAAUGUAUCCAGUAUACUAUCACAGGGAGUUUCAAUUGCCAGCAUCUGAAUUGAUGUCAGACGAUGAGCUUAGCUCCGAUGAUGAUGUAGUAGCACCGAUUACGGAGGGGUCCAUGGAAGUAGCCCAACACCCUAGAGUGGUGUACGAAUGUGGCGGUCGGAGGGAAUAGAUAUAUAUCCGCCGGAUUUGAAAAACUCUGAUUAUGUUAGUAUUGAUUGGAUGAUUAAGUAUGAUAUGCACCAUAGAAGUGCUUUGGACAUAGGAUUCAGUACUUUGCACAUGUCGGACUUACCAACUAAUUUUUAACUAGUGCAGGGGUUGAAACAAAACAUCGUUGUUGUACCUUUAUGUCAAAAUAUCAACUUGGCAACCACAGCAAAGCCUCGGAAAAUUAAGGUCUACGAAGGUAUUAAGGAAGAGGAGUUGACCUACUGGACAAAAAUUUUCUUACAUCAUAAAUCCACUUUUGCUUGGACUUAUGAAGAUCUAAAAGGUAUCCCCGCUGAAGUUUGUGAGCAUGGUAUUAUUUUAGAGGAGCAUACUAAAUCGAUACGAUAGAGGCAACAUCGCCUUAAUCCUAAAUAUUUCCUCAUGGUGAAGGAGGAAUUCGACAAGCUUCUUGCAGUUGGUUUUAUUUAUCCGGUAUCGAAUAGUGAGUGGGUUUCUCUAAUCAACAGGGUGCCAAAAAGAAUGAGAAAAUCUAAAUUUGUUAGGAUUUCUGAAAACAUAAUGCAGCCACCAAGAAAGAUUAUUUUCCAUUACCUUUCAGGGACAGUAUGGGUAACUUGUUGUCAUUAUCACCAGGUAGUAAAAGAAUACGAGUGAAGUACCAUUUAAAGUCAUUUUGUGGUAUUGUUUUGGGUUGGUUGGAGUGCCAUUUUCUUGUAUUUCUUGCAUUUUUGAGAGUAGUAGUUCUAGUUAAGCGCUUGAUAGAGGGAGCGUCAUGGCAAUUGAAAGUGCAAAGCAAACUAUGGACAAAGAAGACAAUGGCCAAAAUGUGAAAGCUAAAUACGCAUCAAAACCACCUUCUAUGAUAAUCGUUACCAAUAUGGAGCCAAUGAAGUUAGAUAUCUGUUGGACGUUGAGAAGAAUAAGAGACUUUCGGAAUGCUCAAUUGGGCCAAAGAAAAUAGUAACUUUAUAGAGUUUUGUUAAGUAGUUUUUAAAUAAGAAUCAAUUGUGUGUUUGCGAGGAUACUGCACAGAUAAGAGUGGGGCUAUGUAGAAUAGAUAUUAGUUCAUUUCUAUAAGAUAUUGGUAAAAAAGACUAAUAAUCCAUAGAAUAGUCAGUUCAGGAGGACAGAUGAUUGAUUUAGUUAUUAAAAGUAGUUAUAUAUAGAAUUACAAUGUUGUAUGGCAUGAUUUGCUAUUUGGGAAUACAUUGGAUAUCUAGCUGUAGAGAGUGUAGCUUAAAUAUUUAUAUUAUUCUUGUCUUAGCUUCCAAAAUUCCUUUAUUUUUGUAUAAAACUCCAAAUAUAAUAAAAUCCUUUCAAAACAUAUUUUUCCUGGGAAGGAUUUUCAUGCUUCAAACUUUAGAAAAUCAUAACUAUUGAUUUAACUAUUUAGUUUGUUUCAAAUUUAUAAGAUAGGUAGAAUUCAACCUUAACUUUUACCACAAAAAAAACCAACUAUAAAUUCACCUCCGAUCUUUUUACAUCUAAGAAAUCCUAGCAGGCACUCUAAACCCUAAUUUACAAGCAUCCAAAAAACUAUUUUCCUUAUAUCUCAAAAAAAAAAAAAAAAAACUCCAAAUGUCAAAAAAACUUAUGCACAAAGUUUAUUAAUAUGAAAUUACACAUUUCCUGAAAUUUUGAGCCAAAACCUUAUCAAAUUGCUCAAGAUAUAGCUCAAGAGACAACCACUAAUAAAUCGGUUUACUUACUACCCUUAGAUUGCAUGUGCUGACUUCAAAAUCCAAUAACUCCUUCAUGCCAACUUGAAAUCCAGUAAGCAGUAUGUGAAAAGUAUAGCCGCAAAAGUGCUCUCUCCAGUCGCAGUUGGCGAUCUUCAAUUUCUGUCUGUGUGCACGCGUUAUGCCCAAAAGAGUGACAGUAGGUCCAAAACUAACACCUUAACUUUGAGUGCCUAUAACUUCUUCAUAAUAACCCCAAAUGACACAAAACUUGCACCAAAACCAUAGUCAAAAACCUAAACCUUGUGACCCUAGCCUUCAAAAUCCGAAUAGCUUCGAGAAACUAACCCUAAUCCCUAUUAUGGCCUCGGGCAGCCUCCUCAAAGCCCAUUGGUCAUGAUUUUUGACCAAUAGGAAUGGAGAUUUUUAUUUUUCAUCUCCAUUCAUCUAUAUUGGUGCCCUAAUUACUCCCUUUGCUACCAAAAUCCUUCUUCAAUCUUUUUUCUUAUAAGAUUUACAUAAUGUAUGCUCUAAACACCAAAUAAAAGAACCAAAAUAAGUUUUCAAAUAUCACCAAUGUCUAACAAAGGUGACUCUAAAUAUUUAGAAGUUACUAUCAACCAAAACCAAUCUUAAAAGCUACUAUCAAAAAAAAAAUUAAAAUUAUACAAAUUCUAUAGUAAUCUUUUUAAACAACCUCUUCUCAAAGUAAUAAUCAAAUUAUAUUCUACAACCAACUAAAAUCUACUAAUAUGGCUCUCACCAUAUUACUUAAUGAAUUAUAUAUUAAGUACAUAAUUACAUUAUUUUCAUAUAGUAGCCGAACAACAACACGACAAUGAUUAGAAUCUGGAAAUCAGGAAGAAUUAUAUAGGAGUUGUAGAAGUUUGUUGGGGGAACAGAUUGUGAUAGUCAUGAGCCGAGGUAAGCUUGGUGUUAUCUCUUUGUUUCUUUGUUUUCUUUGUUGUUGAAGAGUAAUGGAUAGUUUUUGAAUACUGAGAAGUGAGUCUAUGGAAUAAAUCAAAGAUUGAUUUAUGAGUUAUUGAUUAUGUAAUUGGAGUAUUAAGUGAUUGAAUUAUAUGAGGAGUUAUUGAAAGAUUAUGAUUGUUGUUUAUUGAGAGUUGUGUGUGUUUGGACAAAGGAAGUUGGUGAUUAUAAAAACUCUAUGAAUUCAGAUUGGUUGGAGUGAAAUCUGUUAUUCUUGGUAUUGGAUGGAAAUUAUUAUGUUUUAAGCAGUCUUUCGAGACUGCAAGGUUGCACAUUGUUGUUAUCAGUUGAUGAAGGAGUAUUGUUACUGGGAGAAAACAUCGUAAUGUUUCUUAGUAUUUUAGUGGUUUGAAAUGCAGUUAAUUGUGUGACCUUAAUAAGUAAAACUUAUGCACUUAGUCUUUCCCUGUGUUCGAAUGCCCCUAUACAGGUUUAUUUUGAAAAGAAUUGUAGAAUAAGUAAAACGAUAAUCACAAUAUAUGUAUAUAUUCUUUAUUUUUCUAAUCUAUCUUAUUUUAUCUUGAUUAUGGUCCUAUAAAGUAAGUAGAAGUCCACUUUAUAAAAAGAUAGUAUUUUUGUUUUUAGUUUUACUAUAUUUUGACUAUUAUUUAUAUUUAUAUGAUAAUUUUUUAUAAUAUUUUAAAAUAAGAUCUUCUAUAAUUUAAUAUUUCUUCAUUCUUUCACCUAUUAAAUAUUGUUGUAUUGUAAUACAAUUAUAUGGUGAAAAUAUAAUCAAAAAUAAAUUUCUAAAUAAUAUUUAAUUAUCUUGAUUCAAUAAUAAUUCAAGACAUUUAAAGUUAAGUAAGGUUUUUAUGAUAUUUGUAGAUCUAUUAGCUAGAUUAAGGUAAAAUUUGGCAUAAUAUUAGAAGACUUAAAGAUCAAGCUAUAUAUUAAUUUUGAGCUUAAGUUAAUAGUUAAAGAAGAAAAAUUGCUACUAGAACAUCUCCAUCAACUUUUGAAUUAGAAGUCAAGUGAAAUCAGUGCGAUUUUUUGGAAAUUUUUCACAAUUUGUAAGUUGGAUUGGAAUGAAUUUUUUUAAGUAUGUAGAAGUCUUAUAUUGGUAUUUAUGUAAUUUUUUUUGCAUCAAGUGGAUGGUCAAAUUAAGAGUUAUAACUUCUUGAAGCUCAUUGAUUAGGAUUAGGGCUUGUAAAGAGAAAUCGUAAUUUUCUAAUUAUAAAAGUAAUAAAGCAAUUGGAGUUUAUAUAUAAUUGUAAUUAUUAAGAAGAUUAUUUUUGAGCACUUUAUAUUAGCUUUAAGUACUUUUAAAUUGAAAUUCGAAUUCCAUUAUUUUUAUAUGGAUAAAACCUAUUAGGAUUUCUUAGAUAUUUCUAAAACAUAAUUUUAUCUUUCACAGUUAGGUGUCUAGUGCAUUCUCAAAUAAGACAAUACAUAAUAUGAUAUCAUAUUAUAAGAAGAUAUUAUAAUCUUAACUUUUCUUGUGGUUUCAUCUAAAAUUCUAAUAGUCAAGUAAAAAUACAUAAAUCUAAUAUAUACAAAUGCUUACUAAUAGGUGCAAAAGCUUUCAUUACUACAACAAAAGAAUGAUCAUUUUUUUAUUUUAUAUAUAUCAUUUUUAUUUUUAAUAAUAAAAAGAUACCAAGUAGUAUUCAUAGCUAGUAUCAAGAUUUUUAAGCUAUUUUUGAAAAAAAAAAAAAUAAUAAUACAAAUAUUCUUCCAAAGCAUUCAUCCUAAGAUUAUUCAAUUGAUUUUCAAGAAGGAACUCAACCACUAUUUGAAUCAAUCUAUAGCUUAUUGCCACAAACAUAUAUAUUUAUUCCAAUAAUUACUUAUAUGAUUAGGUAGAAGUAGGUAAAUAUAGAUCAAUUUCAUCAAUUCUUUUAGAGUAACUUUUUAGAAGCUUUAUAGACAUAGUUUUGACUUUAGAUGUAUUUGUAGGUUAGAAACUUAGCCAACAACUUAACCACAUAUUGGUAGCUUGUGGAACAAGUUAACUCCAUAUAGUAGCUUGUGAAAUAAGCUAAUUAUGUGGUACAUACAUGGAUAACUUAUCUUGCAAGUUAAGACAUGUGGCUAGCAAAGUCAACACAUAUUUCUAAUUAGGUUGCUUUAUAAUUAUUUCUAUUCAAAGAUCCACGUAUAUCACAAAUAUAGUAUUGUGAUAUGUAUUCAUAUUGAUAAGUCCAUCCAAUAGUCCACAAUAGUGAUGUUGAUUUUAAAAUAAAAAUAAAUCAAUCAACCAUAAAUAUUUCUAUAUCUCCUCUAUUCUCAUAAAAAAUCAAGAAGAAUGUAUUGAAAAUUUCCUUAUAUAAGAUUCUAUUGCACAUGAUGAUAAUUGAAAACUUAUAAGGAGCAAAAUGAAGUCAAAUUGAGUUAUUUUUCUUUCAAGGGCUUUCUGCAAAGUGACAAUUUUUAAAAUCAUAAUAUACUUUAAAAUAUUAAGCAUUCCAUUGAGUUCACAAAUACUCUAUCAAGCAUGACAACUUAAUACUAUUAACAAUAAAUAAGGAGAUAUGUAGUAAUAUAUAGCCUUGACAUACUAUCAUAUAUGAUGUUGAUUACAUUGUACAAAGUAAGAAAAAGAGGUUUAAUUAUGAAUAUUAAAUCAAAUAAGAGAAUAAAAAGAUUUCAAAUAUCUACUUGAUUUAAUUAAAAAUAGGAUAAUAUAAAACAAAACUUAAAGAAGAAACCUAAUAAAGUAAAUUAUUUCACAAAAUUAAAAACAGAAGAUUUAUAGAAAGAAAAAUUUAUGCAUCAUGUACUUUCGUAUUUGAAAGUAAUAUAAUAUAUAAAAAUAAUAUAAAAUAUUAUAAAAUUUUAGAUUUUAAUUAAAAAUAAAAUAAAAUAAAAUAAAAUAUUUAUCUAAUUUAUUUAAGUUUAUAGUUUAAAUUUUGUAAUUAAAGUUAGAAAUUGUAAGAUUUAAGAAGAAAGAAUUUAAAGUGGCUUUGAUGUCAAAAAUAUAAUAUUUUGAUUCCUAAGCCAUUCCAUGUGGAUAGAUAAGGUGAGUGAUAGAGGACUUUAUUUCGAUUGGUUGAAAGUUAUGUUCAAUGGGCUUUGAGAUGUUACUUGGGACCACACUAGAAUUUGGGACCACUUUAGGGCAACUCAUUUGAGGCAAGGCAAUCUAUUUGAAGUUUAGAGUUUGGAUUCAAAAAGCUUGUAUUUUGGACUAAAAGUUAGAUUUAAAAAAAUAUAUGAUUUAGAGUUUUAAUGAGAGAGAUAUGGUUAUUUACGGAUGUAAGUUUGAUACCUACUAUUAUUCUUUUAAGUAUAAGAGAGUUGUAAGAAGGCAUUCAAUAAUCAAAAAGUAAAAUUUGAAAUUUGAAUUGAAGAAUUACAUUAAAUAUAAAGAAAUUAAUAUAUAUCAAUUUGAAAUAAAGAAAAAAGAACUCUAGAAAGUUAAUACUUAAAAAUUAGAAUUUGUAAGUAAAUUCUUUUCAUAGAGGUUUUGAUUUGAGCCAUAUCUUGAGUUUUUGAAUGAAAUUUUGGCUCAAAAUUUCCAUAAGUAUACAAGACUAUGUUAAGAAGUUUUAUAUAAAAAAUUUAUAGUAUUUGAAUGUUGGAUUUUUGAGAUAUGGUGGAUUUAGUGCUCAGAUGCUUAAAAUUUGACAUGUUUAGCACCUACUAGAAAUGAGGCAAUAUCUUAAGACUUGUAAUGAAUUUAUUGUUGAUUUUUGUGUAAAAAUAGUCAAGUAUAUGAGUUAACUUGCAGAGAAUUUUGAAUCCCCUUAGAUAGUUAGAUUGUAAGUUAUUAUGUGUUGCAUAUAUGGAAAGAAUCUCUAUAGGAGUAGAAGUGAUGUUAAGAUAUCUAGUCACAUAUUAGGUACUUUUAUGCAUCAUAAACUUCUAUACUUGAUAUAAUUGUCUUCUUGAAGACAAGCUAUAAAUAAUAUUUGUGUUUUAAAAACUUGUUUGAGCAAUUAGUAGUAGCUAAAGGCCUAGCACUUUCUUGAAACAAACUCUCUUUACAACAACAAUGCUCUACUACUAUGUUUUCUACAAUAGAAAAGAAGUAGAACUUUAGAACUGUUCAAGCUCUGUUUGUAAAGGUGAUUACAUCAUGAUAAGAAAUUACCUCACAAAUGGUAUGAACUCCCUGCAUUCUUGAAUGUGCAUCUUAAAAAAGCAACACUGGUCAAAGGGAGACAUAUCCAUAAUAGAUUUGAGUGAAUUGAGUCGCAGCAAGUCCACAAAUUCUCUGUAUGGUCCAAAGAAUCUUGGUGACAUGUACUAGCAAAACCAUCCGUAUGGGCAGCAUCACCAUCCCUCACAAUACUCGCUGCUUCAAUCGAAGCCACUGGGGCUGCAGCUGUCAAGGUAACCCAGAUUUCGGACUCUUUUGCUAGGAAGCUCAACGGUUCAUGUAAAACUCAAUGCGCAGUGAAUUGCCAAUUUUGGUUUACAUCAUAAAUAUAACAUUCAUGUCACUCUCACGUAUAAUCAGGUGAAAGAGACGCACAUUUUUGUUUGAAAUCUCCUAGGGCUGAAAGCGGAUCAAUGGAUAAGUUGUAUACUAGAUCAAGGCCAUUGACAAUGAAAACAAAGGUACAAUAUUCACACAAGAAGUCUUGGCAAUAUGAUUCGUUCAUAAGGCCAAACAGUCGCAUUCGGCAUCAACAUCGUCAUCUUCUGGACACCUGUCCUGUGUAGACUGCGAAAAGCAUCAUCAUCAGCACAAAAGAACUAGAAUAACCACUCACCUACAAAUUUAUGUCCUUGACAAAAUGUGUACUUCUGAUGAAGAAACGGUCGUGCUCCUUUACCUUGAUAUAGUUCAUACUUAGUUAGGAGCUGUGCAUUGCGAUGAGUUUCUGCAUCAAAUCGUUCUUUCAGUUCCACUUCGUGGAACAAUGUUCUUCUUAACAUCAUUGUGAUAUAUUCCAAUAUGGUUUGGACUUACUCUUUUCUCCGCUCCAGCUGAACAAAACGAACAGAAGUACGUAUAUUACUGAACAAACAGGCAUGAUGAACCACACAAGGCCGAAAAGUAGUAUACAUGAGAAUCACUGUAUUCAAGCCUACUAUCUCUUUGAUACUUUGGUAUCUCUCGAUGGACUGAAAAAUUUAUAUCUCCGUACCUGGUCUGAUUCUUGUGUAAACUCUAGUCAAAAUUGUUUUGAAAAACUGAAAUUAGCAUACCUCUUCUCGUUCCGCAUCUUUCGCAACUUCGGCUCUUUACAGUUAGAAAUGACUAAGAGGCUGCAAUUCUAUCCAAACUUAGUAUGGGUGGAAACACCUGUUUAACAUGGAAACAACUUUACACAAUUACAUGCAACGUCAACGGGCCUUCGAGUACUCACCAGCACCUACUAUGCACACGGUGCUAUUCUUCAAGCCAAAAUGAUCUACUAAGAUCAGUUGCCAUCAUAUAAUAAAACACGCCAAGGCUACAAAACACGCAUCGCACAGCCAUCGACAAUAUCACAUAGGACUAAAGUAAAAUCUACCAUAUGAUCACCUCCUCAGCAAACACCAUGCAUCUUGUCCAUGGAGUCAAAUCUUCUAGUCCACACUUUCUUCGCCCUCUCAAUAGAGCCGUCGUUUAAGUCACUUCAUUACUUACGACAUACGUCAUGCCUGACAACAAAUCUGUGGUGAUAAAACACACAACAGCAGGCAGAUUACACUGCUGCUCCUGUGGGCAUUAUGGUUACAGUCAGUUCACUAUUUCUUGGAAGAAUAUAAGUGGGCAGAUUUCUAAGUUCCACGGCAAAAAUCAUAGAAAAUGUGCUGACAUCUCUCACAAGAAAGGAAAUGGACGCAAGAGAGUGAAGUAUUUCAGGUUGAAAUUAUGCAGACAUGUUCGAUUCUGCCAGAUAUGUAAAAAGUUCAUGUAAAGAAUAAUCAAUAAGCAAGAAUCGUGUUCGGGCAUGUCUACAACUAACUUGUCAGAGAAAUAUCAUGCGAUACGGUGCAAUAACUGUCCCUUGAAAUGAGAUUGUCACAGAGAUACGUGUUCCAGACCAUACAUUGCAUACAUAGUUCACGAUCCGGGCAUGAUCAUCAAAGCCACGAGGUAAUCAAGCGGAGCAGACGACACAAAAGGAGCAUCCUUGCGAUAAUGCGCAACUAUAAUUUCCUCGCUGUAUGUACUUUUCAAAUCAAUCAUAGCAACGAGUAACUGCACAUAAAAUUUCAAAAGUAAUAAAAAUACUUCCCUCACGGUAAAAGUCCUGAAAUUUCUGUAUGGUGAGAGGGAAAACAAAUUCUUCGUUUCAAUUGGAAAUGAAUAAUCCGAUAGCUUAGAUCUAAGAGUGCAAAUAUAAGCACAGAAACUACCCUAAAGACUUAAUACAUUUUCAUGAGUACUUCGGCUACAGUUACGAUCGCCUAGAAAACUGCAUCGUGCAACUCCAGGUUCUCGUUCCCACUCCAGUCACCCGCUGCAGCUCACCGCCACAAAAGUCCACUUUACGAUCUUCAUGGAUCGUUAUUACAUCUGAGAAAUACUCUUCAUUACCUCUGUAAAAAGCACCUCGCCCUCUAGUUCUUCCUAAAACCCAAUCCAUCGGCCAUUCCCCUGUUCGCCAACACGGAGACGCUCCGCUUCACGUCGACCGAAAUCUUUCCAUCAGAUCCAACAACAACAGCUUUCUCCUUCCUCCAUCUUACAACAACUUAGCAGCAACGAAGGCAACGACGCAGCCAACAACCGGCGCAACCAUGGUUGGCACGACUGAGCCGACGCCGGAAUCCUGCCCUGCGGGAGCAGGGGCCUGGGCCUGGGCCAUGGCAGAGGAUGCCAUGGUAGAAACUACGACAACAGCAACGACGGCAGCCCUCUUCACAGCUGAGAAAGCCAUUUCAAAAACUCUGCAGAAUCAAGCACCUAAUCGAUGAAGCUUUAAAGAAUGAGUGCUGCGGAAAGCGGAAAUCGAGUAAGCGAAGUGCAGAAGUUUGAAGCUCGAUCAAUGCACGAGUGCAGCGGAAGACGGCAGAGAGAUGUCAGAGAGACGCUCGAUAGAUCUCGGUGCUGCUGAGCAAUACAGUACGCGAGAAGGGAAUCAGCGACGAAGUGAGAAUGCCAAGUGCUUGGGUAGAGAGAGGCUUUAGUAAACAGGGAGUGGGGGGGGGGGGGGGGGGGGGGACGGGUUUCGGGCGCGAGGAUCCGAGCCCAUUUGAUGCCGCAGUUACCAGGUGGGAAGGGGAAGGGGAAGAGCCAGAUCCCCCACACCCGCGGGGGGCUUAGCAAGCCGCCUCCCAUCCUCGCCCGUUCCGGAUCCUUUUCCCCACAAUCGGCAUUCUUUUG
rnacentral:lncRNA from 1 species